rnacentral:lncRNA from 1 species
UUUUUUCUUUUUUUCUUUUCGGUGGGAUUCUUUGGCCUCUUUUAUUUUAUCUUGGCUUCUUUGGCCUCUUUUAUUUUUCAUAAAGUCCGUAGACUCAUCCCAACUUGUGAGGGAAUCAUAGCUUCCAUCAUCCUUUCCUCACAUGAGACAAUGCUCUAAUAAUGAUGAUCAUCACACUUUUAUUUACUUACAACUCAAGAAUUACAACUCGAUACUUAGAACAAAAUAUGACUCUAUAUGAAUGCUUCCGGUGGUGUACCGGGAUGUGCAAUGAUCUAGUGUAGCAAAUGAGAUCAAAAAACGGACAAGCCAUGAAAACAUCAUGCUAGCUAUCUUAUGAUCAUGCAAAGAAAUAUGACAAUGAUGGUAUGUGUCAUAAUAAAACGGAACGGUGGAAGUUGCAUGGCAAUAUAUCUUGGAAUGGCUAUGGAAAUGCCAUAAUAGGUAGGUAUGGUGGCUAUUUUUAGGAAGGUAUAUUGUGGGUUUAAUGCACCGGCGAAAGUUGCGCGACACUAGAGAGGCUAGCAAUGGUGGAAGGGUGAGAGUGCGUAUAAUCCAUGGACUCAACAUUAGUCAUAAAGAACUCACAUACUUAUUGCAAAAGUUUAGAAGCUAUGGAAACAAAGUAUCUGAUGCAUGGUCCUAGGGGGAUAGAUUGGUAGGAAAAGACAAUCGCUUGUCCCCGACCGUCACUCAUAGGGAAGACAAUCAAUAAAUAAAUCAUGCUCCGACUUCAUCACAUAACGGUGCACCAUACGUGCAUGCUACAUGAAUCACAAAAUUUAACAUAAGUAUUUCUACCAAUCCACAAUUACUCACUAGCAUGAUCUAAUAUCACCAUCUUUAUAUCUGAAAACAAUCAUAAGGAAUCACACUUCUCAUAGUAUUCAAUGCACUUUAUAUGAAAGUUUUUAUUAUAUCCCUCUUGGAUGCCCAUCAUAUUAGGACUAAAUUCAUAACCAAAGCAAAUUACCAUGAUUUUUAAAGACUCUCAAAAUAGUAUAAGUGAAUCAUGAUAGUUCAACAAUUUCUAUAAAAUAAAAUCACCGCCAUGCUCUAAAAAGAUAUACGUGAAGCACUAGAGCAAAUUGCCUAGCUCAAAAGAUAUAAGUGAAGCACGUAGAGUAUUCUAAUAAAUUCACGAUUUAAGCGUGUCCCUCUCAAAAGGUGUGUACAGCAAGGAUGAUUGUGUCAAACUAAAAAGCAAGAACUCAUAUCACACAAGGCGCUCCAAGCAAAACACAUAUCAUGGUGAGUAAAAAUAUAGCCUCAAGUAAAUUUACCGAUGGAUUGAAGACAAAAGAGGGGAUGCCUUCCGGGGCAUCCCCAAGCUUAGAUGCUUGGUUGUCCUUGAAUAUUACCUUGGGGUGCCUUGGGCAUCCCCAAGCUUGAGCUCUUGCCACUCCGUAUUCCAUAGUCCAUCAAAUCUUUACCCAAAACUUUAAAACUUCACAACACAAAACUCAAUAGAAAACUCAUGAGAUCCGUUAGUAUAAGAAAAUAAAUCACCACUUUUGGUACUGUUAUGAACAUAUUCUUUACUUAUAUUGGUGUAAUAUCUACUAUAUUCCAACUUCUCCAUGGUUCCUACCCCUCGAUACUACCCAUAGAUUCAUCAAAAUAAGCAAACAACACAUACAAAAUAGAAUAUGUCAAAAGCAGAACAAUCUGUAGUAAUCUGUGAACUUCGUAUACUUCUGUAACUCCAAAAAUUCUGAAAAAUUAGGACAACAGUGGUAAUUCAUAUAUCAAUCUUGUGUAAAAAUUAGAAUUUUAUCACGCUUCUGUGAUUUUUAACAAUUCUGGCAAUGAGCGCAAAAGUUUCUGUUUUUCAGCAAGAUCAAAUCAACGAUAUACCAAAGUAUCCAAAUGGCUUUACUUGGCUCAAACACUAAUUAAAGACACCAAAAUACAAUUACUACAGAGGUAAUAAUGUGUAUUUAUUCAAGAAUAGAAGCAAAAACUAAAUAAAAUUGGGUUGCCUCCCAACAAGCGCUAUUGUUUACCGCCCCUAGCUAGGCAUAAAACAUAGAUCUAGGUAUUGUCAUCUUUGGUAUGCAAUUCCUCAAUUGCACAUUUAUAGUCCCUAGGGGCUUCUUUAGUUUUUGUUGGUGUUCUGGGAACGGGGGUCCCCAGACUUGCCUGCCUGCGGCCCACGGCGUGGCUCUGCGAGCGGGCCCGUACGGACCAUCUUCACCAACAAACACUCAAGACCCUCGCGAGGGGCCAAGCCUCGCGAGGCGGACGACACAAGACCUCCUCGGGAGCGGCCCCCAGGCUGGCUCGCGAGGGGUGGAGAGAUCAAGGCAAGGCAAACCUCGCGAGCUUCUCGUGACGUGAGCCAUGACGAUCAAGAUCAGGCGGGCGCCAGCGCGCAUAGUGUCCUUGUUUCCUCUUUGUUGCUAAGGAAGCAAGCGCAGGCGAGGAGUGCCGAGGCGUCAAGCAAAGGUUUCCAUAUCGGUGCAACGAGACCAAGACCAGCAGAACGACAAGACGGAGGUCACCAUGGAGCCCAAGGUAGCGUCACCACCAGAGCCUUUUGCAGGCGAAGACUGCUUUUGUCAGGAUAAGCUGUACUAGCUGUCCCCUUUCAAAUUGGCCGUUGUUGGCUCCCUUCCCACUCAAUAUUUGGGGAGAGGACUAGGGCCACUAUAAAUAGGGCUAGGCACCACCGUAGGAGGCAUCAGAUCUCGACUGGAUCGAAUCCUCACCCACACAAGUUCACCAAGCACAAGAACACCUCAACCUUAGGAGGCCGUUCUUCCCUUGUACUGUUCAUCCUCAGCCCGAGAGGCAAUCCACCACCACCACACUAGAGUAGGGUAUUACACCUCAGCGGUGGCCCAAACCAGUAUAAAUCUUGUGUCGCUUGUGUUGCGAGUUCGUCGAGUUAGUCCUUGAGAUCUUAGCAAAGCAAGGACGUGGAUCGCUAGGGGAAGAUCUUCGUGCGCACCCCAGUGUUCGAACCUUGAGGGUUUUGCCGGAACUCGUGAUCCGACAUUUGGCACUCGAGGUAGGGGGUGCGCCGUAGCCUUCCUUCCAUCAAUCUGCGCUCCGCCACCACUGCGCUCUGCCCUCAUGGCAGGCGCCUCGCUCCCGGCUCCGACGGCCGGCGCUGAUGAUGGGGUCAGGGGGCUCUGAGCCCUGGUCCCCGCCGUGCGGCAGGUGCGGUGGCCGCUUAAGUUCAAGCCGGAGAUGCCGUCGUGCUACGACGGCGCGGCGGACGCGUCAGCUUUCCUGCUGGCAUACGAGGAGGCCGUCCUCGAGGCCGGUGGUGACGACAAGGUCAUGGCUAACUGGUUUCCCAUGGCCCUCACUGGCGCGCCGCGCGCCUGGAUGCUCAACCUCCCCGGAUCCAUGGUGGCAUCUUGGGAGGAGCUGCGCGACCUCUUCACUGCGCGCUACGCGGCAUCGACGCACCACGCGGUCGCGGCCCUACUAGGCGGCUCCCAAGCACCGCCUUCAGAUCGCCAUAUCAAGCCAUUCCUUCGCCAGAUCGGUGCCGCUUCCAAGCGCUCGGGGGCUACGCCGGGCUGGGCUGCGCCCGAGGCCGACCUCACCUUCAAAUCAGAAGACCACCCCGUCACCACCGCCGGCUCGGGUAUGCUACCGAUGCUUUGCACGCCCACCAUCUGCAACGUGGCCGUCACCAAGACCCUCAUCGACGGCGGCGCCGGCCUCAACGUGCUCUCCAUCGAGACUUCAGCCUUUUGCAUGUAUCGCUCGAGCGGCUCAGCCUUAGCAAGCCUUUCUCAGGAGUUGGCGGUGGCACCGCCCACUCCCUGGGGCAGAUCCGCCUCCCGGUCACCUUCGGCACGCGCGACAACUACCGCACCGAGCUGGUCGACUUCGACAUCGCCCGCAUCGGCCUCCCGUAAAACUCCAUCCUCAGGUACCCAGCUUUGGCCCAAUUCAUGGUAGCAACCCAUCCGGCAUACAACCUCAUGAAGAUGCCUGGAAGCAAGGGUGUCCUCACCAUCAAGGGGGACGCCAUGGAGGCCAUGGCGGUGCUCAAGCUUGCCCUCAAGACCGCCACAGCAGCACAGCCCGUCGGCGCGGGCGCCUCCAAGGCCAAGGGGGCCGCACAAACCAAGAAGAAACGGCUGUUCACCCAAGACAAGGCAGAAACAAAGCAGGUGCCAGUCGAUGAGGACGGGUCCUCUGGAGCCACCUUUACCAUAGGUGCCAACCUCGACCCAAGCCAGGAGGAAGCGUUGGUGAAGUUCUUGCGCGCAAACAAGGAGAUAGUCGCAUGGGAACCCAAGCAGCUGAUGGGAGUCCCAAGAGAGGUGAUUCAGCAUCACUUAAGGGUGUGCCCCAUGUACGCCCUGUGAAGCAGCGGGCGCGACAGCAGUCCACGGAGAAGCAUGCCUUCAUCGUCCAAGAAACCCGCAAGUUAGAGGCGGCGGGUGCCAUUCGCAACGUCCGGUACCCCAAAUGGCUGACAAACCCCGUCGUUGUGCCGAAGAAAGGCGGGAAGGAGUGAAUGUGCGUCGACUUCACCAACCUCAACAAGGCCUGCCCCCAAGAUCCGUUCCCGCUCCCACGCAUCGACCAGAUCGUUGACUCCACCGCCGAGUGCGACCUGCUGUGCUUCCUGGAUGUGUUCUCAGGGUAUCACCAGAUCAAGAUGGCGGUAGAAGAUGUAGAGAAGACAGCCUUCCUGACCACGUGCGGGGUAUAUUGCUACACUUGCAUGCCUUUCGGACUGCGUAACGCGGGCGCAACCUUUCAGCGGCUGAUGCACAUCGCCUUAGGGCGACAGCUCGGGAGAAACGCGGAGGCCUACGUCGACGACAUUGUGGUGAAAUCUCGGGAGGCCAAAACCUUGAUCCAAGAUCUGGAGGAGACCUUCGCGAGCCUAAGCCAGGUGAACUUGCGACUUAACCCGGAGAAGUGUGUGUUUGGUGUCCCUUCCGGCAAGUUGCUGGGUUUCCUCGUAUCCCACAGAGGGAUCGAGGUGAACCCAAAAAAGAUCAAGGCUAUUGAAGACAUGAGCCCACCGCAGACCCUCAAGGAAAUGUAGAAGCUGGCUGGUCGGGUGAGUGCGUUGGGGCGCUUCAUCUCCAAGCUAGGAGAGCACGCCCUACCCUUCAAGCUGUUGAAGAAGAAGAGCCCAUUCGAGUGGACCCCGGAGGCCGACCGAGCAUUCCAACACCUCAAGAGAUACCUGACCAGUCCUCCAGUGAUGGUGGCUCCACGACCUCUAGAGCCCCUAGUGCUUUAUCUUGCCGCCACUCCGUACUCCGCCAGCGUGGCUCUGGUGGCGGUUCAGGAAGAGCACCAAGCCAAAGGCGCGUUACGACGAGCCACGCCAUCAGCCGGACUGACGCGAGAUCAGGUAGACCCCGCAAGAGCCGUAGAAGCGUCGGCAGAAGACCAAGCUCGGCAGGACGCCGCCGCCAAGGUCCCUACAAGAGAUCAAGUGUUGGAGGUUCCGCUACCUCAGGAGACACCCCAACUUCCGCAAGACACGAGCCUCACCACCGCUCCAGCUCUCGUCAAGCACCCGGUGUAUUUCGUCAGCACGGUGUUGCAGGACGCAAGGGCACGAUAUCCCAUGCCUCAGAAGCUCUUACUCGUGCUCUUGGUGGCCUCGUGUAAGUUGCGACACUACUUCCAGGGCCACCCCAUCAAGGUCGUCUCGGCCUACCCAUUGGAGAGAGUGCUCAGGAGCCCCAACUCUGUUGGAAGGGUCGCUGAGUGGAACAUCGAGCUGCAGGCAUUCUAGUUGGAGUUCAGCACUACCAGGGUCAUCAAGGGAGCCGCGCUCGCUGAUUUCGUGGCAGAAUGGACGGAUGCCCCGACUCUUGAAGUAGGUGAGGACCAGUCCACCUCGCCGGGAAGUGAGGCGCCUGAGGAUGGGUCAUGUAUUUCGAUGGCGCCUUCGCGCACUAGGGCGCGGGGGCUGGAGCAGUACUCAUCUCGCCCACUCAAGAAAAGCUCUACUACGCCGUGCAGCUCUGCUUUCAGCGGGGCGAGAAGGUCUCAAACAACAUCACAGAGUACGAAGGCCUCAUAGCUGGCCUGAAAGCUGCAGCAGCUCUGGGGGUGAAGCGCCUCACCGUUAGGGGCGACUCGCAGCUCCUCGUCAACUUCUCCAACAAGGUAUACGAGCCGAAGGAUGAGCACAUGGAGGCAUACCUCGUGGAGGUGCGCAAGAUGGAGAAGAAGUUCCUGGGCCUAGAGUUGCAGCACGUGCCCUGUGGCACCAACAAGGAGGCUGACGAUAUUGCCAGGAGGGCAUCCAAGCGACAGCCCCAAGAGCCUGGCAUCUUCGAGGAGUGGCUCUUCAAGCCAUCAGUGGCACCACCACUCUCAAGGACGGCUCAGCCUCGGGAGGAACUCCCGCAGCCGCCUGCCACAGGGGCCCCAGCCUGUGGCCCGACUUCGGGAGCGCGCCUACUCUUGGCACUCGAGCCUCAGGAGGGAUGCUAGACCAAGGAGUUCAAGGAAUACCUGAUGCAAGGGACGCUGCCGGAGAAGGAGGAGGACGUGGAGCGCGUGGCCCGGCAAGCCACGACGUACGGCAUCCGGGACGGUGAGUUAUACAGGAAGCGACCAAAUGACGUUUCAUUGCGUUGCAUCUCCAGAGACUAGGGGAAGGAGUUGCUAUCCGACAUACAUAGUGGGGACUGCGGGCACCACUCAUCAUCACGGACCCUCGUCGGCAAGGCAUUCCGCAGCGGAUUCUAUUGGCCCACGGCGUUCAACGACGCAGCCGAGCUGGUGAAGUCCUGUGAAGCCUGCCAGUUCCACGCCAAGCAGACCCAUCAGCCGGCUCAGCGCCUCCAGACUAUCCCACUCACAUGGCCGUUCGCGGUCUGGGGGCUGGAUAUCUUGGGCCCAUUCCCUCGAGCGCCUGGGGGCUACCGCUACCUCUACGUCGCCAUCGACAAGUUCACCAAGUGGGAGGAAGUGGAAGCCGUCCGCACCAUCCCAGCUGGCUCCGCAGUCAAGUUCAUCAAGGGUCUCGUGAGCCGUUCGGGGUCCCCAACCGCAUCAUCACUGAUAAUGGCUCACAGUUCACUAGUAAUCUCUUCAAGACAUACUGUGCUAACCUUGGAACGUAGAUCUGCUACGCUUCGGUGGCGCACCCCAGGAGCAACGGUCAGGCCGAACGCGCCAACGCAGAGGUCCUGAGGGGCCUCAAGACCAGGACCUUCAAGAAGAAGCUCGAGGCCUGCGGCAGGGGCUGGUACAACGAGCUCCAGUCCGUGCUAUGGUCUAUACGCACCACCGCCACCAAGCCAACGGGCGAGACCCGUUCUUCCUCGUCUACGGAGCUGAAGCGGUCCUCCCUCACGAGGUCAAGCAUCGCUCCGCACGGGUCCUGGCAUUUGAUGAAGCGCAACAGGACGCCAUGCGGGGGAUGGACCUCGUGCUGGGGGAGGAACACCGCCGCGAAGCCGCACUACGGGCGGCAAGGUAUCAGCAGGCGUUGCGGCGAUACCACUGCCGCAACAUCCGCUCCAGGACGCUCGAGGCGGGUGACCUCGUCCUGAGGCGGGUCCUCUCCAGGGAAGGGCUGCAUAAGCUCUCACCCAUGUGGGAGGGCCCGUUCAAGGUCGUCCAUGUCUCCAGGCCUAGCGCCGCGCGCCUGGAGACACAGGACGGGGUACCCAUCCAGAACACCUGGAACAUCCAGCACUUCCGGAAGUUCUACCCAUGAAGAAGGCCCAGUGCCUGUGAAGAAAGGCCCAGUGCCUGUGAAGAAGGCCCGGUGCCUGUGAAGAUCGCCGCCCGUGACACUCUCACGUAAUAACGAGUGGGGCUGUACACGCCCCGGAGUCUCAGGAGUGCCGCCCUCGGGCCUCGGGGGCUCCCUCCCACGUCCAAGUGUUAGCACUUAGCUCCGCGCUGGUGAGAAUACUUGAAGACUAGACUAGGUGCCGGACGCGGCUUUUCAUUUGCUUUUCGCAGUUGGCUCGCCUCAUUUUAAUUGAAAGUUUUCUUCUGGAGUUCCUUGUUAGUUUGGUUCGUCGCUUUUUGCUGCUGUUUCCGGUUCCAGUUUAACCUGUUUUCUCUCUCUCGCAUACCUCGUGAGGGGGCUAGGCAGGCGCCCUCACGAGCGUUUUUCCUUUCCUCUGCCCUUCGUCUGUUUUUUCGCGAGGCACCCUCGUUCGAGCCCACAAGCUGGCGCUCACCUCUUGAUCCGUGACCCUUGGGUAUCGCGAUACGAAGCACCGGGCCAAGGCUCGGGUGAACGAUAAGCCUCCCAGCGAUGCUCCUAACAAGUUUUUUGCAGUUCCCUAGCACCCGCCGAAUCAAGGAAGGCCUCCAUAGGCACCAGGAAGUGAGUCCCUCGCGAAGAGGAGGCUACCCCAAGCGUGCCAAGCUAAGUUACCUCUACACAAAAUAAUGACACAGCAUGGAAACAACAAACAUAGCAUAAUGAUUGGGAAAUCAUAGUUCGAUACACGCCCCUCCGGGGCCCAUACUGGUUUCUUUUGAUGCAGAAAGGAAAGGAAGAACAAAAUAAAGCGAUGCUUGCCCCUACAGCGGUCCACGGAUGCAGGCUCCUGGCGCCGUCCUGAGCUCAGCCAGACCCCUCCUCGCGCUUCACGGAGGCGCGGCGACAAGAUGAUCCACUACCGCCUUCGAAGCGAGCGCGGCGGCUGGUCGUAGUCACCGCUGCUGUUGCUGUCGCCGGGGGAAGAGCCACCGUAGCUUGAUGAGACGCGGUCGGCACUAAGGGCGGGUUCGCCCUCAUCCUCGUCUCAACCAUCGCCAAGGCCGAGCACCUCCUCGCCGUCGUUCACCUCGGGGCAGCACCCGAAGCGGCGACCAUCUUCCCCAAACACUCUCACGUAGAUGGUCGCAUCACCGUCGUACCUGAAAUGGAGGGUGCACCGCCUGCCCAGGCCGCGCGCGCGCGGGGGCAAACAUCUGCCAACCGCGGGCCAGAGCUAUGUUGCCCGCGACGGAGACCUCAACCGCAACCCAAGAAGCUCUGCUGCAGCAACCGUCCGCCUGCAGCCAGAGCCUGCCUUGACCGGAGGCUGGCAGCUCGUUGGCGAUGAAGCGCGGGAGCUGAAGCCAGUUGCCGGCCGGGUCCUCCGACCAAAUGACGAACUCCGGCAACACCUCCACCGAGUGGAAGCGCGGCUGGGGAGGCCGUGCAACCAUGGCGCGUCUACCUUCGCCGACAGGGCAACCACGACUGGAACGACCCCUGCGACACGAAGCGGCGCCACCACGGGAACGGGGGGCCGCGACGGGGGUCACGGUGUGCUUGCGGGGACGGCCACGUCCACGCUUGGGCACCGGGGAGCCGGGCCCCUCGCGAGGGGCCUUUUACUUCUCCGCGGCAGAGAACCUCUUCGAUGGUGCCAUCAGUGUCGGCGGUGGAGCAGAGGAGGAAGAAGCAAGCGGAACGGGAAGAGAUGGGCAACGGGGGCUCGGCCCCCUCCUCAUUUAUAGUAGGAGAAGGCCAACCAGCGCCCCCCACGAUCACAGGUAAUGAUGGUUUUCCUUGCAUGUCACAGGGACUUGUCCAGUCGGGCAGUUGCCGAGGCAGCGUGGGGAAGCGGAGACGCCCACAUCCAAUCAACCGCCACGCGUCAACCAAGGCCGCAGGCUAUUGGGGCCCGCGGCACUCCGCACUUGACAUUUGGCUUCACCUCGAAGCCAAGCCCGAGCGCGCCUUGGGCCCGGGGGCUAGUCGGCGUUCUGGGAACAGGGGUCCCCAGACUUGCCUGCCUGCGGCCCAUGGCGUGGCUUUGCGAGCGGGCCCGUACGGCCCAUUUCACCAACAAACACUCAAGAACCUCGCAAGGGGCCAAGCCUCGCGAGGCGGACGACACAAGACCUCCUCGGGAGCGGCCCCCCAGGCUGGCUCGCGAGGGGCAGAGAGAUCAAGGGAAGGCAAACCUCGCGAGCUUCUCGUGAUGUGAGCCAUUACGAUCAAGAUCAGGCGGCCGCCAGGCGGGCGCCAGCGCGCACAGUGUCCUUGUCUCCUCUUUGGUGCUAAGGAAGCAAGCGCACGCGAGGAGUACCGAGGCGUCAAGCAAAGGUUUCCAUAUCGGUGCAAUGAGACCAAGACCAGCAGGACGGCAAGACGGAGGUCACCAUGGAGCCCAAGGCGGCGUGACCACGAGAGCCUUUUGCAGGCGAAGACUUCUUUUGUCAGGAUAAGCUGUACUAGCUGUCCCCUUUCAAAUUGGCCGUUGUUGGCUCCCUUCCCGCUUAAUAUUUGGGGAGAGGACCAGGGCCACUAUAAAUAGGGCUAGCCACCACCGUAGGAGGCAUCGGAUCUCGACUGGAUCGAAUCCUCACCCACACAAGUUCACCAAGCACAAGAACACCUCAACCUCAGGAGGCCGUUCUUCCCCUUGUAUUGUUCAUCCUCAGCCCGAGAGGCAGUCCACCACCACCACCACACUGGAGUAGGGUAUUACACCUCAACGGUGGACCGAAGCAGUAUAAAUCUUGUGUCCCUUGUGUUGCGAGUUCGUCGAGUUAGUCCUUGAGAUCUUAACAAAGCUAGGACGUGGAUCAGUAGGGGAAGAUCUUCGUGCGCACCCCAGUGUUCAAACCUUGAGGGUUUUUCCGGAACCCGUGAUCCGACAGUUUUAUUGAAGAUCACACUCCUAGGCAAGAAUUCAAGAAAUUCACUCGUAGCAAUUGGUUCCUUAAUAAUGUUGAUAAAAUUAGGGUGAACACUUAUCAUCUUAAGAUCCUCGUCUCCCUUAAUAGAAGUUUCACCCUUAUUCUUAGGAACAUAAUAAUACUUGGCAGCCUUUGUAGGAGGAAAAUUGGGAGUAGUUUUAAUAGAAGCAAAAUCGGAACCCAUGUUGGUAAUAAUUUCUUCUAGCUUGCCAAUUCUGGUAGAAUCUUGAUCUAUCUUUUCAUUAACUAUGGGUUCUUUUUCCUUUAAAUUCUUCAAAGUGACUCCUACUUUUGAUGCAUAUUGAGUAAUAUGAUUAUGAAUCUUUUUAUCCAAGUUCUCAAUAUGCUCUAUGGUAGAAAUUUUAUUCUCAAUAAUAUCAAGUCUUUGCAUCAUAUGUUCUAAAGUCAAAACAAUUUCAUUAAUCAUAAGAGGUGGUGAGCCUACCAAAUCAAUCAUAGCAUUAUAAGCAUCCAAGGUGUAGCUCCCCGAGAAAUUUCCCCCGGCAAUGGUAUCUAGAACAUAUCUAUUCCAAGGAGUAACACCCACAUAAAAAUUGCGAAGGAGAACGAUAGUAGACUGCUUACGGGUAGAUCUAUUUUCAGCAUUGCAAAUUCUAUACCAAGCAUCUUUUAAAUUUUCUCCCUCCCUUUGCUUAAAACUAAGAACUUCAAUCUCGGGAGUACUAGCAAUGGUGGAAAGACUAGCCAUGAAAGCAAAUCAAGCAAUCUUGCACACGAGCAACCAAAAAGCAAACGACAAGAAGAACGGUAGAAGGGCGAAUAAAAAGGCAAAUCUUUUUGUAUUUUUCUGAAAAGGUUUUAGAGGUGGGGAGAGGAAAACAAGAGGCAAAUGGCAAAUAAUGUAAUGCAAUAGAUGAGUGUUUAUGAUGGGUACUUGGUAGGCUUGAUGUAGAUCUCCCCGGCAAGAGCGCCAGAAAUUCUUCGUGCCACUUCUUCAGCUUGUGUUGGUUUUUCCCCUGAAGAGGAAAGAGUGAUGCAGCGAAGUAGAGAUAAGUAUUUCCCUCAGUUAAGAACCAAGGUAUCAAUCUAGUAGGAGAUACAAGCAAGUCCCUAAUCUAUCCACCUGCACAAACAAUCAAACACUUGCACCCAACACGAUAAAGGGGUUGUCAAUCCCUUCACGGUCACUUGCAAAGGUGUCUAAUAGAGAUAGAUGUAGAAUAUUACUAAAACGUAAAAUGAAAUAAAAUAAAAGUAAAUAAAUUUCAGCGAAGUAUUUUUGGUUUUUUUGGUUCAUAGAUCUGAAAAUAUAAUAUGGAAAAUAGACCCGGGGGCCAUAGGUUUCACUAGAGGCUUCUGUCUUGAAAGAAAAUAAUACUGUGGGUGAACAAAUUACUGUCGAGCAAUUGAUAGAAGCAAAUUAUGACGAUAUCCAAGGCAAUGAUUAUGCAUAUAGGCAUCACGUCCAUGUCAAGUAGACCGAAAUGAUUCUGCAUCUACUACUAUUACUCCACACAUCGACCACUAUCCCGCAUGCAUCUAGAGUAUUAAGUUCAUAAGAACAGAGUAAUGCCUUAAGUAAGAUGACAUGAUGUAGAGGGAUAAACUCAAGCAAUAUGAUGAAAACCCCAUCUUUUUACCCUUGAUGGCAACAAUACAAAUAUGUGCCUCGCUACCCCUACUUUGGCACUGGGUGAGGACACCGCAAGAUUGAACCCAAAACUAAGCACCUCUCCCAUUGCAAGAAAUACCAAUCUAGUUGGCCAAACCAAACCGAUAAUUUGAAGAGAAAGACAAAGAUAUCAAAUCAUGCAUAUAAUAAUUCAGAGGAGAUUCAAAUAAUAUUCAUAGAUAAUCUGGUCAUAAAUCCACAAUUCAUCGGAUCUCGACAAACACACCGCAAAAGAAGAUUACAUCGGAUAGAUCUCCAAAACAUUGAGGAGAACUUGGUAUUGAGGAUCAAAGAGAGAGAAGAAUCCAUCUAGCUACUAGCUAUGGACCCGUAGGUCUGAGGUAAACUACUGACGCUUCAUCGAAAGGGCAAUAGGGUUGACGUAAUAGCCCUCCAUGAUCGAAUCCCCCUGCCGCAGGGUGCCGGAAAAGGCCCCAAGAUGGGAUCUCACGGGUACAGAAGGUUAAGGCGGCGGAAAAGUUUUUUGGUGGACGCUUCUGGUCGUUGGGAAUAUUUCUGAAUUUAUAGGCCAAAGAUUAUGGUUGGAGGACUCCCGUGGGAUCCACAAGCCAGGGGCGCCCCCUAGGGUGUGCCCUGAGGGCUUGUGGUGCCCUCGGGACUCUUCUGCCUUCCUCUCCAUGUCCUACUUGUGUCUUCUGGUCCAAGAAAAAUCAUUGCGAAAGUUUUAUUCCCUCUUGACUCCGUUUGAUAUAUCUUUUCUGUAAAACUCAAAAACAAGGAAAAAAAUAGAAACUGGCACUGGGCUCUGGGUUAAUAAUUUAGUCCCAAAAAUAAUAUAAAAUAGCAUAUUAAUGCAUAUAAAACAUCUAAAAUAGAUAAUAUAAUAGCAUGGAACAAUCAAAAACUAUAAAUACGUUGGAGACGUAUAAGAGGGGUAUAUAUAGCCUCCACAAAAAUCCAAUCGUUACACACUUUUGACUCAUCUUGGUGGCACCGAUUAGAAAACUCGGUGGCACCGAUAUGUUCAAAAAUAUGAACGUUAGGAAUCUCAAUGGGACUGACUGAAACAAGUUGGUGGGACCGAUGUGCUAGGUCUUAGGGCAAACAUCAUCUCCGUGGUGCCGAUUGCACCAACUCGGUGGGACCGAAGUGAAGCAAUAAGCAAUAGAGAAUAUAUGAAGCCAACUCGGUGAGGCCGAUGGCAUAAACUCGAUGGGACCUAAGCGAAUGCAAUAGAUCAUAGAGCGCUGGUAAGGCCAUCUCGGUGGGGCCGAGAUCCGUAUCGGUGUGACCGAAUCACUCGGGUUUCUGGCAGUGGCUAUGUCAAGAGAACUUGGUGGCUUCGGGUUGGAAGAAUUAGUGGGGCCUAGUUUGGAAUUUGGGUUUUGACAUAUUUGAAUGGAGAAAGUGGCUGAGGGUUUUGGAUCAAUAUCACUAAGCACUUGAGCAAGUAGAACAUUAAGCAACACCUCAUCCCCUUUUAAUAGUAUUGGCUUUCCUAUGGACUCAAUGUGAUCUUGGAUUACUUAAAUAGAAAUGAAGAGUCUUGAGCUUUUUCCAAACUUUUUCCUUAUCAUUUUGAGGGGUCCACAUCUCUAGUCCAUGCCAGGCCAAUCAUUGAACAUCCUAUAGUUCAAUGAGCUCUUGUUAUGAAUUACCAAAACCACCCGGGGAUUAGUUGCACUUUCAAUCUCCCCCUUUUUGGUAAUUGAUGACAACAUAUAGAUCAAAGCUUCCACAAAUGAUAAAAUGAAUGAAGUACAUCAUCACUUUGAGAAGUAUGUGAUAAGCAAGAGCUCCCCGUAAAUUUGUGCAUUAUUAAAAAUUUGUGUUUGAAUGCAAAUGCACAAUCGAUUAGGAUCGUGGGUCACUCUUCCAUGUCACAUACAUCUUGGUGGAUCGCACAAAAUGAUAUGAGUGAAAUAACAUGCACGCAUCACCAAAUACAUAAAUGAAUAAUCAUACACAAGUAAUCAUAGAGAUAAGCAUAAAUCACACAUUAAGCAUAGUAUGAUCAACCACACAACCAAACAUAGUAUCUCAUGAGCAUAAAAACAACCAAGUAGCAAAAAACAAAUGGACAUUGUAGCAACGGGCAAUAAAAACCAACAGGCAAAAUAACGAGACACUCUCUCUGAAAGCCUAUGAUCUAUACAUUUUCUCCCCCAUUGUCAACAAGUUACCAAAAAGCUCAAAAAAUUAUAGUGCCAUACGUCUCUCUAGGCAUGAUCCUCCGGAGCUCCUAAAAGGGUCUUCUGGCUUGUGGCUCCGGUGUUCGUAGAUGGUGUUGAGAGAACUGCCUCUGCGAAUGCUUUUGCUGAAGUGCGCUGCACUGGUGGUGUAGACACUGGAGGUGGCACUGUAGCAGUAGUGGCAGGUGCAGAGUGAGUAGGCCUCGUGUCUGCAACUGGCACAACUGAGGAUCCGGCUGCCCUCGGCACUGUCUGAAACCUCUCCGUAGUGGUGUGCUCAUUGCCUUCUUCAGUAUCAUCUCGAAGCUUCUCCACAAUAGACUAGAUCUAUGUGACCUUGAAAUUUAGAUUGUACAUCUUGUCCUCCACAAUCCGCUCUAAGCUCUCCCGGUUCUUGGCUAAGUUGGCCAGACUUUGCUCAAUCCUUUUUGUUGCUUCUAGCAGAUAUGUCAUUUGGUCUUGCUUAGACUUGAGAUUUGCUAUUGGGGCAUUGGGUGCAGUGGCUUCCUUUGCUGCCCUUGCUGCUGCUGCCUGAGCCUUCUCUUGAGACUCAACUAAUGUAGGGUGUGAAGGAUCCAUCACCACUACAUUUUCCUCGAACUCUGGCUCACGAGGAAGGUGCUCAUGAUUGAUGUCGCUUGAAGCUACGUCGGUAUUUCCCCAAAGAGGAAGGGAUGAUGCAGCACAGCGGCGGUAGGUAUUUCCCUCAGAUAUGAAACCAAGGUUAUCGAACCAGUAGGAGAACCAAGCAAAACAACAUAAAUAGCCCCUGCACAGAAAUAACAACACCUUGCAACCCGACGUGUUAAAGGGGUUGUCAAUCCCUUUCGGGGUACGACGCCAGAAACGGUGCGUGGACGGGAGAAAGUUGUAAUAGAUUGAAAUAAUAUAUCGCAAAUAAAAUAAAGUGCAGCAAAGUAUUUUUGAAUUUUUGGUUUAAUAGAUCUGGAUAAAAAUGCAAAGGAAAAGUAGAUUGCAAACAAAUAUAUGAGAAAGAAGACCCGGGGGCCAUAGAUUUCACUAGUGGUUUCUCUCGAGAAAAAUAGCAAACGGUGGGUAAACAAAUUACUGUUGGGCAAUUGAUAGAACUUCAAAUAAUUAUGACGAUAUCCAGGCAAUGAUCAUUACAUAGGCAUCACGUCCAAGAUUAGUAAACCGACUCCUGCCUGCAUCUACUACUAUUAUUCCACACAUCGACCGCUAUCCAGCAUGCAUCUAGUGUAUUAAGUUCAUAGAAAAACGGAUUAAUGCAAUAAGAACGAUGACAUGAUGUAGACAAGAUCCAUUUAUCUAUGGCGGUAGAUAUAGAUCCCAUCUUUUUAUCCUUAGUAGCAAUGAUACAUACGUGUCGGUUCCCUUUCUGUCACUGGGAUCAAGCACCGUAAGAUCGGACUCACUACCGGGCACCUCUUCCCAUUGCAAGAUAAAUAGAUCAAGUUGGCCAAACAAAACCCAAAUAUCUGAGAAGAAAUACGAGGCUAUAAGAGAUCAUGCAUAUAAUAGAUCAAAGAAACUCAACUAACUUUCAUGGAUAUAAAAAGAUAUAAUUGAUCAUAAACUCGAAGUUCAUCAGAUCCCAACAAACACACCGCAAAAGAGUUACAUCAUAUGGAUCUCCAAGAGACCAUUGUAUUGAUAAUUCAGUGAGAGAGAGGAAGCCAUCUAGCUACUAACUACAGACCCGAAGGUCUACAAAGAACUACUCACGCAUCAUCGGAGAGGCACCAAUGGAAGUGGUGAACCCCUCCUUGAUGGUGUCUAAAUUGGAUCUGGUGGUUCUGGACUAUUCGGCGGCUGGAUGAAUAUUUUGUUGACUCCCCUAGGGUUUCUGGAAUAUUGGGGUAUUUAUAGAGCAAAGAGGCGGUCCGGGGGGCACCCGAGGUGGGCACAAGGCGCGCCCUGGUGGGUUGUCCCCUCCUCGGGACUCCCCCAGGUGCAACCAGGGCCCGUUUUGUUCCUUAUGGCCCAUAAAAAUCAUCGUGGAGUUUCGUGGCAUUUGGACUCCGUCUGAUAUUGAUUUCCUGCGAUGUAAAAACAUGGGAAAAACAGCAACUGGCACUUGGCACUAUGUCAAUAGUUUAGUACCAAAAAAUGAUAUAAAAUGACUAUAAAAUGAUUAUAAAACAUCCAAGAUUGAUAAUAAAACAACAUUGAACAAUCAAAAAUUAUAGAUACGUUGGAGACAUAUCAGCAUCCCCAAGCUUAACUCCUGCUCGUCCGCGAGUAGGUAAGUGAUAAAAACAGAAUUUUUUAUGUGGAGUGUUGUUUAUCAUGUCAUAUCAUAUUCUUUUCUUUAUAGCAUGGACAUUUGGACUUUUAUGUGAUUCAAAGCAAUAGUCUAGUUUUGACAGAAUAUUUUAGAUACUCAAGCAUAUCAACAAGCAACCAUGUCUUUCAAAAUAUCAACGUUAAAAUAAGUUAUCCCUAGCCCAUCAUGCUCAAACAUUUAUCCAUUCAUGAAACACACUCGAAUAUUAGCUACACCCAAUACUUAAGUAUGAUUAUAUUUUUCCUCGUUUGUGCUUUUGUAAGAGAAGAUGGAGACUCAAAUUCAAAAAUAAAAAUUGCAUAAAGUAAAAGAAGGCCCUUCGCAGAGGGAAGUAGGGAUUUGUAGAGGUGCCAGAGCUCAAAGCGAAAAAUUAGAGAUAAAAACAUUUUUGGGAGGUGUAUCUAUCCCACCAACGAAAACGACAUAGAGCUACGAACACUUUCGAUGCUAGAUAUGCCAUAGGCGGUUCCCAAAUAGAAAAUAAAAUUUAUUCCUUUUUCCACCAUACUUUCACCUUCCAUGGCUAACCGUAUCCGCGGGUGCCCUCCAUACCAACACUUUCCAAGGAAUUUAUUAUUUGACAACAUAAAAUAAAUUUAUUUUUGCAUUUCGGGACUGGGCAUCCCUAAAACCUUUGCCUUACUCUUGUGCAAUGACAAGUGAAUAAACACUCAUCGUGAGAAUAACACAUCCAACAUGGAAAAUAUUAGCCACCCGUUACCGUUCUGCGAGCGAAACAAAUACACAAAAGAGAAGUUUAUUUUGAAAAUUAGAGAUGGCACAUGGAAAUUUGCUUAGAAUGGCAAAAGAAUACCACAUAUAGGUAGAUAUAGUGGACUCAUGUGCCAAAACUGGUUUAAAGGAUUUUGGAUGCACAAGUAGAGAUCAUACUUAGUGCAAAAUGAAGGCUAUCAAAAAGAUUGAGAAGCGACCAACCAAGAAACGAAUAAUACCAUAAGAAAGCAUUAAGCAUAAUUAGCACCGAAUAAUGCACCACAAGUAGGAUAUAAUUUUCAUUGCAUGAUUAUUGACUUUCGUGCAUGCAUAGGGAAUCACAAACCUUAACAACAAUAUUCUUACUAGAGCACAAUUACUCAUCAACAUAACUCACAUAUCACAUCAUCAUAUCUCAUAACUAUUACUAAGAAUCAAGUUUAUUUUGUCCAAUGAUCUUCAUGACAUUCUUUUACUUUAUCCUUCUUGGAUAUCUAUCACUUUGGGACUAAUUUUCAUGUGUUGCUUUUAAGCUCAAACAAAUAUAAGUGAAGAUCAUGAGCAUAACAAAUUUUCUUUGUCUCAGAAUAAUUUAAGUGAAUCAAGAGAGAAUUUCUUCAAAAAUUUACUAACUCUCAAAUAAAUCUAAGUGAAGCAAGAGAUCAUUUCUUCAAAAAAAUACUAAGCACACCGUGCUAAAAAAGAUAUAAGUGAAGCACUAGAGCAAGUCCUAGCUCAUAAAAGAUUUAAGUGAAGCACAGAGAGCAAUUCUAACAAGUCAUGAUAUAAUUUUGGCUCUCUCAAAUAGGUGUGUCCAUCAAGGAUUGAUUUCUUAAAACACAAAAUAAAACAAACAAAGACUCAUAUCAUACAAGACGCUCCAAACAAAACACAUAUCAUGUGACGAAUAAAAAUAUAGCUUCGAGUAAAAUACCGAUAGUUGUUGGAAGAAAGCGGGGAUGCCACUCGGGGGCAUCCCCAAGCUUAGUUGGUUGCUCAUUUUUAGAUAAUAGCUUGGGAUGCCGGGGCAUCCCCAAGCUUAGGCUUUCACAUCCUUCCUUCAUCCAUCGUAAGAUAACCCAAAACUUGAAAACUUCAAUCACACAAAACUCAACAAAACCUUCGUGAGAUCCGUUAGUAUAAGAAAGCAAACCACUAGUAUAAGUACUGUAUCAAACCAAUUCAUAUUUUCUUUUUGUAUUAUAUCUACUGUAUUCCAACUUUUCUACGGCAAAAACUCAUCAAAGAAAACCAUAGAGCCAUCAAAAUAAGCACACAACACAAAGAAAACAGAAUCUGUGAAAACAGAACAGUCUGUAGUAAUCUGACUUUUGCGAAUACUUCUGGAAAAAAUUCUACAAAAUUAGGAAGACCAGGGUAAUUUGAAUAUUAAUCUUCUGCAAAAAGAAUCAGGGCAAAAUCUCUUUCUGAUAAAAAAUGAGAAUUGUUUUCGUGAGCGCAAAGUUUCUGUCUUUUUCAGCAAGAUCAAACAACUAUCACCCAAGAAGAUCCUAAAGGCUUUUCUUGGCACAAACACUAAUUAAAACACAAAAAACACAAUCAUAAUAGUAGCAUAAUUGUGUUAACACUCAAGAACAGAAAGCAAAAAGCAAAAAUAAAAUUUAUUCAUUGGGUUUCCUCCCAACAAGCGCUAUAGUUUUACGCCCUUAGCUAGGCAUAAAGCAUGGAUCUAAGUUUUGUCAUCCUUAGUUCGAGAUCCAUAAGAUGCCCUGAUGAUUGAUUCAUAAGGUGGUUUGAUUUUUGUUCUAGGAAAGUGUUCCAUACCCUUCCUCAAGGUAAAUUGGAACUUUAUAUUGCCUUCUUUCAUAUCAAUCACGACACCAAUAGUGCGUAAAAACGGUCUACCAAGGAUAAUUGGACAAGACAGAUUGCAAUCAAUAUCAAGAACAAUAAAAUCUACGGGCACAUAAUUUCUAUUUGCAAGAAUAAUAACAUCAUUAAUUCCUCCCAUAGGCUUUUUAAUAGUAGAAUCCGCCAAGUGCAAAUUCAAAGAACACGAUUCAAUAUCGAUAAGACCAAGCACAUCACAUAAAGAUUUCGGAACUAUAGAAACACUAGCACCCACGUCACGUAAAGCAAAACACUCACAAUUUUUAAUCUUGACUUUGAUACUAGGUUCCCAUUCAUCAUGCAAUUUUCUAGGAAUUGAAACUUCUAAUUCCAAUUUUUCUUCCAAAGCUUUCAUCAUAGCAUCAACAAUAUGUUUAGUAAAAAGCUUUGUUUUGUUCAUAAGCAUGGGGUGAAUUUAGGAUGUAUUGCAACAAAGAAAUACAAUCAAUCAAAGAGAAACUAUCAUAAUUAAAGUCUUUAUAAUCCAAAAGAGUGGGUGCAUCACUAACUAAAGUUUUGACCUCUCCAAACCCACUUUUAUCAAUUUUCUCAACAAGAUUUUCACCCUCCGAAAUAUUGGGACGCCUUCUACCUAAAGUUGACUCUUCUCUAGUCCCUUUUUCAUCAAUCUUAUCUUUACUAAACAAGGAAUCAAUAGAAGAAACACCAAUCAUUUUAAGAUCUUCAUCACUUUUGCAAGAAUAAUCACUAGAAAGAGCUUUCUCUAAAAAUUCUCUUUUAGCUCUAAGCAUAGCAGUUCUUUUCUUACUUUCAUCUAUAGAAACAUAAAGGGCUUUAAUUGAUUCAUCAACUUUAGGCACCAAAAUUUUCAACUUGAGGUUUUCCACAUCAUGGGCAAUUCUAUCAACACUUCUAGACAAAUCAUCGAUCUUAUUCAACUUUUCUUCCGUGGAAGUGUUGAAAACCUUUUGCGUGUUGAUAAAUUCUUUAAUAUUAUUAUCAAGAUCAGAGUUAUUCUAUUGUAAGAUUGAUUUACAUAGGAAUUACAUAAUUAUUAGAGGAAUUACUAGGAAAAGGCCUAGGAUUAAAAUUUCCUCUAUAAGCAUUGUUGUUGAAAUUAUUGCGAGAAAUAAAAUUCACAUCAAUAGCAUCACUAUUUUGCUCAAUCAAAGUAGACAAAGGCAUAUCAUUAAAAUCAAUAGGAGCACUUUUACUAGCAACCAAUUUCAUAAGAGCAUCAACUUUUUCACUCAAAGAAGAAAUUUCUUCAACCGAAUUAACUUUUUUACCAGUAGGAGCCCUUUCGGUAUGCCAUUGUGAAUAAUUUCCCAUGAUAUUAUCUAGCAAUUUGGUGGCUUCACCCAAAGUAAUUUCCAUAAAAGUACCAUCUGCGGCGGAAUCUAAAAGAUUACGAGAAACAAAAUUCAACCCCGCAUAAAUUUUUUGUAUGAUCAUCCAAAGAUUUAACCCAUGAGUUGGGCAAUUUCUUAGCAUCAUUUUCAUCCUUUCCCAAGAUUGUGCAACAUGCUCAUGUUCAAGUUGCUUGAAAUUCAUUGUCUGGGUUCUAAGGUAAAUAAGUUUUGCGGGAGGAAAAUACUUAGUGAUAAAAGCAUCUUUGCACUUAUUCCAAGAAUCGAUACUAUUGCGAGGCAAAGAAGAGAACCAAUUUUUUGCAGAAUCACGCAAAGAAAACGGAAAUAAUUUCAUCUUGACCACAUCAUUGUCCACAUAUUUUUUCUUUUGCAUAUCGCAUAAUUCCACGAAGGUAUUAAGAUGGGAUGCGUCAUCCUCAUUAGGAGGACCGGAAAAUUGAUCUUUCAUAACAAGAUUGAACAAAACAGUAUUAAUAUCACAAGUCUCCGCACUAGUGGUGGGAGGAGCAAGCGGAGUGCCAAUAAAAUCAUUGUUGUUGGUAUUUGAGAAAGCACAUAACUUGGUGUUCUCUUGAGUCAUGACGACUACACAACAAGAUUGCACUCAAAACAGAUCUGGCAUAAAAACGGCGAACGGAAAAAGAGAGGCGAAUAAUACGGCAAAUUUUUGUGAAGUGGGGGAGAGGAAAACGGGAGGCAAAUGGCAAAUAAUGUAAAUUGCGAGGAGAUGAGAUUUGUGAUUAGGAACCUGGUUAUGUUGAAGAUCCUCCCCGGCAACGGCGCCAGAAAUUCCUUUUGAUGCUUGAAGCUACGUCGGUAUUUCCCCAAAGAGGAAGGGAUGAUGCAGCACAACGGCAGUAGGUAUUUCCCUCAGAUAUGAAAGCAAGGUUAUCGAACCAGUAGGAGAACCAAGCAACACAACAUAAACAGCCCCUGCACACAAAUAACAACACCUCGCAACCCGACGUGUUAAAGGGGUUGUAAAUUCCUUUUGGGGUACGGCGCCAGAAAUGGUGCGUGGACAGGAGAAAGUUGUAAUAGAUUGAAAUAAUAGACCACAAAUAAAAUAAAGUGCAGCAAAGUAUUUUUGUAUUUUUAGUUUAAUAGAUCUGAAUAAAAAUGCAAAGGAAAAGUAUAUCACAAACAAAUAUAUGAGAAAGAAGACCCGGGGGCCGUAGAUUUCACUAGUGGCUUCUCUCUCGAAAAAUAGCAAACGGUGGGUAAACAAAUUACUGUUGGGCAAUUGAUAGAACUUCAAAUAAUUAUGACGAUAUCCAGGCAAUGAUCAUUACAUAGGCAUCACGUCCAAGAUUAGUAAACCGACUCCUGCCUGCAUCUACUACUAUUACUCCACACAUCGACCGCUAUCCAGCAUGCAUCUAGUGUAUUAAGUUCAUGGAAAAACAGAGUAAUGCAAUAAGAACGAUGACAUGAUGUAGACAAGAUCCGUUUAUCUAUGGCGGUAGAUAUAGAUCCCAUCUUUUUAUCCUUGGUAGCAACGAUACAUACGUGUCGGUUCCCUUUCUGUCACUAGGAUCAAGCACCGUAAGAUCGAACCCACUACCGGGCACCUCUUCCCAUUGCAAGAUAAAUAGAUCAAGUGGGCCAAACAAAACCCAAAUAUCAGAGAAGAAAUGCAAGGCUAUAAGAGAUCAUGCAUAUAAGAGAUCAAAGAAACUCAAAUCACUUUCAUGGAUAUGAAAAGAUAUAAUUGAUCAUAAACUCGAAGUUCAUCAGAUCCCAACAAACACACCGCAAAAGAGCUACAUCAUAUGGAUCUCCAAGAGACCAUUGUAUUGAGAGUUCAGCGAGAGAGAGGAAGCCAUCUAGCUACUAACUACGGACCCGAAGGUCUACAAAGAACUACUCACGCAUCAUCGGAGAGGCACCGAUGGAACUGGUCAACCCCUCCGUGAUGGUGUCUAGAUUGGAUCUGGUGGUUCUGGACUCUGCGGCGGUUGGAUGAAUAUUUCGUCUACUCCCCUAGGUUUUCUGGAAUAUUGGGGUAUUUAUAGAGCAAAGAAGCGGUCCGGGGUGCACCCGAGGUGGGCACAACCCACCAGGGCGCGCCUGGGCCUCCUGGUGCGCCAUGGUGGGUUGUCCCCUCCUCGAGACUCCCCCAGGUGCAACCAGGGCCCGUUGUGUUCCUUUUGGCCCAUAAAAAAUCAUCGUGGAGUUUCAUGGAAUUUGGACUCCGUCUGAUAUUGAUUUCCUGUGAUGUAAAAAACAUGGAAAAAACAGCAACUGGCACUUGGCACUAUGUCAAUAGGAUAGUACCAAAAAAUGAUAUAGAAUGACUAUAAAAUGAUUAUAAAACAUCCAAGAUUGAUAAUAAAACAUCAUGGAAAAAUCAGAAAUUAUAGGUACAUUGGAGACAUAUCAAUGAUCAAGUAGAUAUGUAUCUCUACCAACCUUGGAGUUGAUAAGCACCUCAAUGUGAGGGGCAUAUCGACAAGACCUUUUCUGGUCAGCAGUAGCCCUCUUGACCGUCUCAACAAUUAAGCUCAGAACUUUUAAAUUUCUAAGGUGGGGUGUCAAACAAGUGAAGCAAAUUGAUAGAGUGGCCAUGGAUCAUCCUUUCAUCUCUAGAUUUGGGCAAAAGAGUGAAUCUCAGAUUGGUGUUUGUUGCGGCCAACCCUGCUAGCAAAUGCUUGACUGUCGGGGUAAUUGACCACGGGUACCCCGAAGACGACAAGACAAUAUUUCAAGACAUCGGGGCUAGCAAAGCCCCUCUGUCCGUGCUCAGGCCGCCCCAGACGCCCCCUGUCCGACUGCACGGGCCGACUCGCCACCCGACACGGCAGCCGUGCAGCAGGAGGCUCGCCGCCGCGAGCUGGGACCCUGCGUGCAAGCCGAGAAUNNNNNNNNNNNNNNNNNNNNNNNNNNNNNNNNNNNNNNNNNNNNNNNNNNNNNNNNNNNNNNNNNNNNNNNNNNNNNNNNNNNNNNNNNNNNNNNNNNNNNNNNNNNNNNNNNNNNNNNNNNNNNNNNNNNNNNNNNNNNNNNNNNNNNNNNNNNNNNNNNNNNNNNNNNNNNNNNNNNNNNNNNNNNNNNNNNNNNNNNNNNNNNNNNNNNNNNNNNNNNNNNNNNNNNNNNNNNNNNNNNNNNNNNNNNNNNNNNNNNNNNNNNNNNNNNNNNNNNNNNNNNNNNAGGCGCCGACAGGCGGCGCCCAUGACAGACGAGAUCAAGAGCCGGCUGCUAGCCGUAGCCGCACCCACAUCAUGAUCGAGCGCGACCAAGAUGGCCGCCCACGAGCAGUGGAACGGCGGGACGAUCGUCUGCCUCCCCCGCGCAGGGAGAGGCGCGCCUCCCCGCUGCCUGUUGAGCAUCCGACUCUCGUAGGCCGUCUAGGUCCCCGUGAAGGAGUCAGAGAGAACGACGCCCGCCACUGGAUCGACUUAUUGGCUCGGUCCCUGGCGUUAGAAUAAGAAGACGCAAUCGCGGCGAGCCCUUCCCCAAAGGGUUCUCGCUCCCUCGAGACACUGCCAAGUACAACGGCUCCGUGAAGCCGGAAGACUGGCUGGUUGAGUACUCCACCACCGUCAACAUAGCAAACGGCAACAAGCACAUUGCCGUGAAGUACGUUCCGCUCAUGCUCCAGGGCACGACCCGGAUAUGGCUGAACAGCCUCAAACCCUACAGCGUCAACAGCUGGCUAGACUUCACCGAUGCCUUCAUCUGCAACUUCACCAGCACAUACAAGCGGCCGCCCAAGCCCCGCCAGCUCUCCUUGUGCGUCCAAGGUCCGACUGAGUACACCCGCGACUACCUAACGCGGUGGGCCGAACUACACAACUCCUGCGAAGGGGUGCAUGAGGUGCAAGCCAUAGAGUUCUUCACAGCCGGGUGCAGAGAUGGCACCCUGCUCAAGCACAAGCUCCUCUGCGACGAGCCGACUACCCUCGACGAGCUGCUGAUCAUAGCAGACAAGUACGCCACGGCCGACUCCUCCAUGAAGUCGGAGUUGCAAAUAGACGCAACCGGGAAGGUGACCCCUCCGGCUCCUCGGACGCUAGCUGGUGACUCCAGCCGGCAACAGCAGCCGAACGACAACAAGCGCAAGGCCCCGCAGCCGGCUUCCACCAGCCGGCAAGUGGCAACAGUCGAAGACCAUGUAACACCCCAAGUGUCAUGCUACAGUAAUCACCUGUUAAUGGUGCCAUGUCAUCAGGUUACUGUUGCUAAUCUUCACUUGAUCCAAAUCACCAUUCAAAUUCAAAUCCAAUCUAAAGUCAAAAAUUCUUUUUGUCAGACAUGAAAUCUAAAAUGUUCAUCUUGUGGCAAAUAAUCAUUUUUUAAUAUUGGUGGUGGACCAACAUUUUUGCAAGGUGUUUAAAUGGCCUAAACCAAUUAAAGCAGUGGCUAAAACAAUAGAUUAAAUGACUUUUUAAUUUAUAAAAAUUGCUACCUUUUUCACAAAGCCUCACAAUCUUUUUGUGGCAAUGCAAAAUAAUUCUUUGGAAUUGUUUUAGCCAGUGGCAUAAUUUUGCAAGUCAUUAGUGGCUAAAAGAAAAAUGCAAAAGCUGCUGAAAAAGAAAAACAAAAAAAGGAGAAAGAAAGGGGGGGAGAGAGAGAGAGCAACCCCCCUCCCUGGACCGAACCCACCUGGGCCGGCCCACCUAACCCACCCGAGCCAGCCCAGUUGCCCCCUCGCAGCGGUCUCUCUCCCCCCGCCCUGUUCCUCGGUCUCAGACCGCAACAGGGGCGUCACCGCUGAACCACCUCGCCGGCCACGCCGCUACAGGCUCCGCGGGGAGGAUAAGGACGCCAGCGACGACCCCCCUGCCUCCUCCGAGAGAUCUUUUCCCCCCUUCCCCACGAGCUACUGCUUGCCCUCUCCGCCUCUCCCAUUCCCCACCGCAUCCGAGCGCUGCCGUGGCCCUGCCGCCGUAACGCACGCGGUCCCCGACACCGCCUCGCCUCUCCUCCGCGCCAAGAAGGACCGCCUCGACCUCCUCUUCCUCCCCAACGAAUCACCCGAGCAGGAGCGCCUCUGCAUCAUCCCCUACGUUGCCGUCUUCCUCCUCUUCUCCGAAGAGCUUCGCCGUCGAUUCCGCCGCACCGAGCCCUCCUCGAGCACGCUUGAGCACAUCUGCAGGAGCACUGUGAGCCUGCGCUUCUUUCCCCUCUCUCUCCCGAGCUUUUCCGACGCCCGUAGCCCCGUUCCCGUAGCUCGCCCGAAGAACCUCGCCGCCGACGAGCUCGGCGCCAUGGCCAUGGUCGCCUUCACAUGCGGCCGAGCGCCGCAUCGUGCUCCUGGGGUUCCUAGUGGCCCAACGCGCGCGUCUGCUGCUCUCACCGUGCCCCGCAGCCCCCUGUUCACCGCUCACCAGAAAGCCACCACCACCUGACUCGCCGUCGGUGACGUUCUCGGCCGUCCCCGGCCACGCCACCACCUCCAUUCGACGCGGUGUGGACUGGUCGUUCGAACGGGCCAAACCACAGCCCCGGGGAUGCCCUGUGGGCGAAACCCGAAGCUCACCCGCGCCUCGCCGCCGCAUUGGAGCUCGCCGGAGCCCCUCUCCGGUGCCCUGCCGACGUGGCUGACCGGGCCCCACCCCUGGCUCGCUGCCAGUGGGCCCCACGGGCCCCAGUUGACUGGGUUGACCCAGUCGACUGCUGACUGGGCAGCGGAGUGCCACUGACAUGCAGGCCCCACUGCUUAAUUAAGCUAAUUAAAAUGUUUUAUAAUUAAAAAUAAUUAGUUAAGCUAAAUAGUCACUCACAUGUGGGGCCCAGCUGCUAAUUAGCCAUGUUUAAUUAAAAUAACCCCCUGUCAGUCCACUGUCGAUGACAGGUGGGACCCACUGGUCAGUUUGACCUGGUCAGCCGUCCUGUUGACCGCUGACUUCACAAUGACGUCAUGUUGAUGCAAUAUUCCUUUUCUGUUAAUAUUAAUAAUUCCAGAAAAUACCUUAACCUUUAGAAAUUCAUAGUAAUUAAACAGUUACUCUGAUGAAAAUGUUUUCUACAUGAAAGUUGCUCAGAAAAAUCCAACGAAUCCGAAUAUGCGGUCCGUUCAUCUGUCACAUGCCCUAUCAUGCUCAACUUGUUACUUUCCCCCCCUUUUCCUUUGUCCGAAAUCCACCUAACGUCGGGAAUUCAUCCUCGGAUGUUUAUCCCCUCCGUCUGCAACGUGUAGUACUAUGUUAGGUCGACCCUAGUUUUGCUUAUCGUCAUGUCAUGCUUAGCGUUGCAUCUGUGUGCUUAUAUUUACUGUUUCUUCCCCCUCUUCGCUUCGAUAGACCCCGAGACCGAUGCCGCCCCUGUGAUCGACUACGUCGACGAUGACCCCUCCUUGCCAGAGCAACCAGGCAAGCCCCCCCCUUGAUCACCAGAUAUCGCCUAUUCUUCUCUAUACUGCUUGCAUUAGAAGAGUGUAGCAUGUUACUGCUUUCGGUUAAUCCUAUUCUGAUGCAUAGCCUGUCAUUGUUGCUACAGUUGUUACCCUUACCUGCUAUCCUACUGCUUAGUAUAGGAUGCUAGUGUUCCAUCAGUGGCCCUACACUCUUGUCCGUCUGCCAUGCUAUACUACUGGGCCGUGAUCACUUCGGGAGGUGAUCACGGGCAUACGCUACAUACUUUAUACUGUUACAUUACUUAUGAUACUGUUCGGAGAUGCGGGCUGAAGGGGCAGGUGGCUCCAUCCCGGUAGAGGUGGGCCUGGGUUCCCGACAGCCCUGGACUGUUACUUUGUGGUGGAGCGACAGGGCAGAUUGAGACCACCUAGGAGAGGGGUGGGCCUGGCCCUGGUCGGCGUUCGCGGAUACUUAACACGCUUAACGAGAUCUUGGUAUAUGAUCUGAGUCUGGCCAUUUGGUCUAUACGCACUAACCAACUAUGCGGGAACAGUUAUGGGCACUCGACGUCGUGGUAUCAGCCAAAGCCUUCGUGACGUCAGCGACUGAGCGGCGCGCGCCGAAUUGGACUGGAACGCCUGCUAGGCUAGGUCUGCUUCCGGCCGCGUUCGCAACGUGCAGGUGUGCAAUGGGCGAUGGGCCCAGACCCCUGAGCCAUAGGAUUUAGACCGGCUUGCUGACCUCUCUGUUGUGCCUAGGUGGGGCUGCGACGUGUUGAUCUUCCGAGGCCGGGCAUGACCCAGGAAAGUGUGUCCGGCCAAAUGGGAUCAAGCGUGUUGGGUUAUGUGGUGCACCCCUGCAGGGAAGUUUAUCUAUUCGAAUAGCCGUGAUCUUCGGUAACAGGACGACUUGGAGUUGUACCUUGACCUUAUGACAACUAGAACCGGAUACUUAAUAAAACACACCCUUCCAAGUGCCAGAUACAACCCGGUGAUCGCUCUCUAACAGGGCGACGAGGAGGGGAUCGCCGGGUAGGAUUAUGCUAUGCGAUGCUACUUGGUGAACUUACCAUCUACUCUCUUCUACAUGCUGCAAGAUGGAGGUGGCCUGAAGCAUAGUCUUCGACAGGAUUAGCUAUCCCCCUCUUAUUCUGGCAUUCUGUAGUUCAGUCCACCGAUAUGGCCCUUUACACAUAUACCCAUGCAUAUGUAGUGUAGCUCCUUGCUUGCGAGUACUUUGGAUGAGUACUCACGGUUGCUUUUCUCCCUCUUUUCCCCCUUUCCCUUCUACCUGGUUGUCACAACCAGAUGUCGGAGCCCAGGAGCUAGACGCCACCGUCGACGACGACUCCUACUACACCGGAGGUGCCUACUACUACAUGUAGCCCGCUGACGACGACCAGGAGUAGUUAGGAGGAUCCCAGGCAGGAGGCAUGCGCCUCUUUCAAUCUGUAUCCCAGUUUGUGCUAGCCUUCUUAAGGCAAACUUGUUUAACUUAUGUCUGUACUCAGAUAUUGUUGCUUCCGCUGACUCGUCUAUGAUCGAGCACUUGUAUUCGAGCCCUCGAGGCCUCUGGCUUGUAUUAUGAUGCUUGUAUGACUUAUUUUAUUUUUAGAGUUGUGUUGUGAUAUCUUCCCGUGAGUCCCUGAUCUUGAUCGUACACGUGUGCGUGUACCAUUAGUGUACGGUCAAAUCGGGGGCGUCACAAGUUGGUAUCAGAGCCAACUGCCUGUAGGAAUCCCCCUUCCACACUCCUUUGCCGAAGUCGAGGCUAGACAUUGCAAAAAAUUUACUAACAUGGCUGUGUGUCUUACGUUUACACGUCGCCAUUGGGUGGUAGUAGGAUCUUUUAUUCCUCGACCUAUACUCUGGGACUCUGACAUCUCUUCUAUUCGGGUUAAACGAUUUUACUAACUCUGACUCUAGGUUCUCGAUAAUACUGUCUCCCGGAGAGCCCCUUAUUACAGAUGAUCACCUGCUGUGCCAGACGAUUCCGAAGAUACUCUCUGAUGUUUUCUCGAGACCCUUGUGCCCUUCGCCCUUGCAUUACCUUCCAUCGAUAAAUCCUUAUGGAUAAAUACUUACACCUGUCCUUCUUACUUUCAUUCCCAGCUGCUCUUGUUAUUACAAGAUGCAUCAAAUUAUUCUUCGACUUUUAAUAAUCUCUUCAACCACCGCCUUACAGAUCUUGCCGCAUGAAUACCCCUAAGGAUAAAUUCCUCGCAUUUAUCGAGUAUCCGUUCAUUCCCAGUUGUUCAUGUGUUUUGCAAAAGACUUCGAAAUAUCAUUCGAUCUUCCGAAAAUCCUGAGCAGCCUAUUGCUCUUGAAAUUCUUGUUUGCUGCAUUAUGAUUAAUCCCAUAAGUCUGGUAAUUUAUUGGCAUCCUUUGACAUUAUCAUUCUAAGUCCAUUGAUUCAGUAUGUUGCAAAUGCUCGCAAUCCUCAAUCAGAUCCUAUGAUUCAUCAUUCCCGCUCAGAUAUCAUUUUGAACAGGAGCUGGUUCUCGACCAAUCAAGUUGUCGUCGAAGGUACCCCUAAGCCUACUCAACUUAUCCAUCCUUAAUCAGAGCGUUUGCUUUUGAUCCCUUGGUUUGGAAAUUUUAAUUCCUUUUGCAUUUGAGCUUGACUUAGUCAGUUGUUUCUAUAAUCAGAUCUCCUUGCAUUCUUUCUUCUUCUGGUUGAGUACCGAUGCUCACAUCAAAUCCCUUAGGGUCCGCCAGGUCCUUUGUUGGAUUUUGUCCGACACCGUCCUUCGUAUUCAUUAACCUUGUGAGCUUUUCCUCAGAUACAUAAUGCCUUUGGUAAAUUGUAUCCCCUGCUUUUGUCAACCAUGCUCUGCUCCCGAGCUUGAGUUAUUUACUCCGAAGUUUGUGGUAUAUAUUCCUAGAUGCCCCAAUGGGUUGAACCAUUACCUUCCCUAAUCGGUGCGAACCCGAAAGAUUUCAUGGGUCAUACUUAUCUGGUAUUGUACCAGGUAAAACGUUCAACAACUAAUGUCAUUUUCGAAAUACGAGAGGUGAAUGGAAGGUUAUGCAUGGAGGAAGUGGGAGUCGACCUUGAACCUUUGUGUUCAUGCCCAUGGACACGAUGUAGAUCCUAUCAUGGGAACUUCUUGUAAUAAUAGCUAUUUCCUUGAUAUAAUAUCCUUUGGUAUCGGAGAAUUGAUCCUUUGCAAUUGUGGUUCCGACCAUAUGUUCUUCUUUGAUCCCAUUUCUCGGGCAAGUUUAAGCACUUGUCUUCUACAGAUCAAUGCAUCUCCUCAACCUCUAUUUUGAUAUUCCUUCGAGUAUUACCCCUGGUAUCUCGAGGAUAUCAUGCCAUUGCACUACAUCUUAUGAACUUUUGAUGAAGCACUACCUUUUCCUGUCAUUGUCACUUCACGGGUUCUGGGUUGUUUAUCAAUCGAGAACACCGAUAAGUGAAUCGAUUCCACACUCCGAUUCAAUAACUCUAAAUAAUUUUCGUUGCUUAUGAGUUUAAUAAUCAUUCAAGCCGUUCCUAGCAUUAUCGGCUAUAUCAUUAUCAUGCUAAAUUUUAACUGUGCUACCUGGUCCUUCCUCCCGGAGCACAAUUUUCGGCGAUGAGCUAAACUUACGUCGAUCUUCCUCGUCAUAUCAUUUUGCCGUAACAACAAGCUUGAUUUCGAGUUUGUGUCGUAUCCGUGGUUCCAAUAGACUUUUGCUUCAUCCUUCCUAUUGCUUGGUGUCGUUGCUCCUCAAUGGCAUCUUCAUAGAGCCUCUCGACAAAUGUGUCGUGAUCAUCAUCAACAUUUUGACUUAUGUUGAGAUGACAAUUGAAUUCAUGGUGAGAAAUACCAUCCGUGACCUUCGAUGAUUUGAGUUAUCAUCGACAAGCCCCCCUUGUCUUCUUUUCAGCACAUGUUUAAUCAUGUCCAAUUGUUCCUUGAGUAUUUCUUGUGAUCUUCAACUCCAACCCCUACUUGUAACACCAUGUUAAUGCUACCUCGAAGCAUGACUGAGGUAUUCCGAAUAUCAACAAGAACAUUGGAAGCACAUUGUCGAAUGUUUCUUGAUCUAUUAUCCAAACACCGUUGUAUGGGUAAUAUCAUGAUUCUUCGCUCGCCCCCUUUAUCUAAAUGCUUUUGAACUUGCUGUCAUAUCAUGUAUAUCCUGCUCCGCUUCCCCUUGGGAAGGAUAUACUCCCAAUUCUUGUGUGUAAACACAUUUUCCGUUCCAAUGAUCUGAUUAAUCUAAUGAUCGCCUUUUCCUUCCCAUUGUUUAGUUUAACCUUUCUUAUGAUCUAUAUGAUCUAAGCAGUAAUAUUUUUUCUGCUUAUGUCAACACCUUGGUGUAGAACCGUGUCAGUAAGACCCUGUUACUAUAGUUGAUGACAUUUCAGUAGCCACCGAUGGACGGGAACUUUGCCUAUUGGUCCGCCUCGUACAACGAGCAGGAAAAUAGUUCUCUCCGUCCCUCGCCCUUGGUACCAUCGUUGUUGACAACAUAACUGACUGUCUAUCAUCUGACAUGCCUUGCUAUCGGCCCCCUUUCUACUUUUAAUAGACAUGGUGGGCUCAUAACCCACAGUUCCACAGGAUCGAAACCUGACUCUCCUGUACAACCUUGAUGCCAAAGUAUCUUAUGCUCUUGGCUUUGUGUGUUAUCACGAGCCACCCCCCCGAGGGAUGAUCUAUUCCCGAUGCUCUGAACGCCUUCUCACGCUCUGUUCAGGUAUCGAUCGUUUGUCCAUUCGCUCGAAACUUCUUAUUGUACCUUCAUAUUUUGCUCUCGACGUUUUCUUAAAUUUCAACUCGAGGGAUACUUCUGUCACAUUCCCUGCAUUGUUCACCAGACAAUUAACCCUAUAUGGGUCAGUUAUCCUGAAGUUACUCUUUACUUCACCACUUAAAUCUCGGGACGAGAUUUCUUGUAGUGGAGGAGAUUUGUAACACCCCAAGUGCCAUGCUACAGUAAUCACCUGUUAAUGGUGCCACGUCAUCAGGUUACUGUUGCUAAUCUUCACUUGAUCCAAAUCACCAUUCAAAUUCAAAUCCAAUCUAAAGUAAAAAAUUCUUUUUGUCAGACAUGAAAUCUAAAAUGUUCAUCUUCUGGCAAAUAAUCAUUUGUUAAUAUUGGUGGUAGACCAACAUUUUUGCAAGGUGUUUAAAUGGUCUAAACCAAUUAAAGCAGUGGCUAAAACAAUAGAUUAAAUGGCUUUUUAAUUUACAAAAAUUGCUACCUUUUUCACAAAGCCUCACAAUCUUUUUGUGGCAAUGCAAAAUAAUUCUUUGGAAUUGUUUUAGCCAGUGGCAUAAUUUUGCAAAGUCAUUAGUGGCUAAAAGAAAAAUGCAAAAGCUGCUGGAAAAAGAAAAACAAAAAAAAAGGAGAAAGAAAGGGGAGAGAGAGAGAGCAACCCCCUCCCUGGACCGAACCCACCUGGGCUGGCCCACCUAACCCACCCGAGCCAGCCCAGUUGCCCCCUCGCAGCGGUCUCUCUCCCCCCGCCCUGUUCCUUGGGCUCAGACCGCAACAGGGGCGUCGCCGCCAAACCACCUCGCCGGCCACGCCGCUACAGGCGCCGCGGGGAGGAUAAGGACGCCAACGACGACCCCCCUGCCUCCUCCGAGAGAUCUUUUCCCCCUGCCCCAUGAGCUGCUGCUUGCCCUCUCCGCCUCUCCCAUUCCCCACCGCAUCCGAGCGCUGCCGUGGCCCUGCUGCCGUAAUGCACGCGGUUCCCGACACCGCCUCGCCUCUCCUCCGUGCCAAGAAGGACCGCCUCGACCUCCUCUUCCUCACCGUCGAAUCACCCGAGCAGGAGCGCCUCUGCAUCAUCCCCUACGUUGCCGUCUUCCUCCUCUUCUCCGACGAGCUUCGCCGUUGAUUCCGCCGCACCGAGCCCUCCUCGAGCACGCUUGAGCACAUCUGCAGGAGCAAUGUGAGCCUGCGCUUCUUUCCCCUCUCUCUCCCGAGCUUUUCCGACGCCCGUAGCCCCGUUCCCGUAACUUGCCCGAAGAACCUCGCCGCCGACGAGCUCGGCGCCGUGGCCAUGGUCGCCUUCACAUUCGGCCGAGCGCCGCAUCGUGCUCCUGGGGUUCCUAGUGGCCCAACGCGCGCGUCUGUUGCUCUCGCCGUGCCCCGCAGCCCCCUGUUCACCGCUCACCGGAAACCCACCACCACCUGACUCGCCGCCGGCGACGUUCCCGGCCGUCCCCGGCCACGCCACCACCUCCAUUCGACGCGGUGUGGACUGGCCGUUCGAACGGGCCAAACCACAGCCCCGGGGAUGCCCUGUGGGCGAAACCCGAAGCUCACCCGCGCCUCGCCACCGCAUUGGAGCUCGCCGGAGCACCUCUGCGGUGCCCUGCCGACGUGGCUGGCCGGGCCCCACCCUUGGCUCACUGCUAGUGGGCCCCACGGGCCCCAGUUGACUGGGUUGACCCAGUCGACUGCUGACUGGGCAGCCGAGUGCCACUGACAUGCAGGCCCCACCGCUUAAUUAAGCUAAUGUUUUAUAAUUAAAAAUAAUUAGUUAAGCUAAAUAGUCACUGACAUGUGGGGCCCAGCUGCUAAUUAGCCAUGUUUAAUUAAAAUAACCCACUGUCAGUCCACUGUCGAUGACAGGUGGGACCCACUGGUCAGUUUGACUUGUUCAGCCGUCCUGUUGGCCGCUGACAUCACAAUGACAUAAUGCUGAUGCAAUAUUCCUUUUCUGUUAAUAUUAAUAAUUCCAGAAAAUACCUUAACCUUUAGAAAUUCAUAGUAAUUAAACCGUAACUCCGAUGAAAAUGUUUUCUACAUGAAAGUUGCUCAGAAAAAUCCAACGAAUCCGAAUUUGCAGUCCGUUCAUCUGACACAUGCCCCUAGCAUGCUGAACUUGGAAACUUUCCCCCUCUUUUCCUUUGUCCGGAAUCCACCUAACAUCGGGAAUUCAUCCUCAGAUGUUUAUCCCCUCCGUCUGCAACGUGUAGUACUACGUUAGGUCGACCCUAGUUCUGCUUAUCGUCAUGUCAUGCUUAGCGUUGCAUCUGUGUGCUUAUAUUUACUGUUUCUUCCCCCUCUUCUCUCCGAUAGACCCCGAGACCGAUGCCGCCCCUGUGAUCGACUACGUCGAUGACGACCCCUCCUUGCCAGAGCAACCAGGCAAGCCCCCCCUUGAUCACCAGAUAUCGCCUAUUCUUCUCUAUACUGCUUGCAUUAGAAGAGUGUAGCAUGUUACUUCUUUCGGUUAAUCCUAUUCUGAUGCAUAGCCUGUCAUUGUUGCUACAGUUGUUACCCUUACCUGCUAUCCUACUGCUUAGUAUAGGAUGCUAGUGUUCCAUCAGUGGCCCGACACUCUUGUCCGUCUGCCAUGCUAUAAUACUGGGCCGUGAUCACUUCGGGAGGUGAUCACGGGCAUACGCUACAUACUUUAUACUGUUACAUUACUUAUGAUACUGUUUGGAGAUGGGGGCUGAAGGGGCAGGUGGCUCCAUCCCGGUAGAGGUGGGCCUGGGUUCUCGACGGCCCCCGACAAUUACUUUGUGGCGGAGCGACAGGGCUGGUCGAGACCACCUAGGAGAGGGGUGGGCCUGGCCCUGGUCGGCGUUCGCGGAUACUUAACAGGCUUAACGAGAUCUUGGUAUAUGAUCUGAGUCUGGCCAUUUGGUCUAUACGCACUAACCAACUACGCGGGAACAGUUAUGGGCACUCGACGUCGUGGUAUCAGCCGAAGCCUUCGUGACGUCAGCGACUGAGCGGCGGGCGCCGGAUUGGACUGGAACGCCUGCUAGGCUAGGUCUGCUUCCGGCCGCGUUCGCAACAUGCAGGUGUGCAAUGGGCGAUGGGCCCAGACCCCUGCGCCGUAGGAUUUAGACCGGCGUGCUGACCUCUCUAUUGUGCCUAGGUGGGGCUGCGACGUGUUGAUCUUCUGAGGCCGGGCAUGACCCAGGAAAGUGUGUCCGGCCAAAUGGGAUCAAGCGUGUUGGGUUAUGUGGUGCACCUCUGUAGGGAAGUUUAUCUAUUCGAAUAGCUGUGAUCUUCUAUAAUAGGACGACCUUGAGUUGCACCUUGACCUUAUGACAACUAGAAUCGGAUACUUAAUAAAACACACCCUUCCAAGUGCCAGAUGCAACCCGGUGAUCGCUCUCUAACAGGGCGACGAGGAGGGGAUCGCCGGGUAGGAUUAUGCUAUGCGAUGCUACUUGGUGAACUUACCAUCUACUCUCCUCUACAUGCUGCAAGAUGGAGGUGGCCUGAAGCGUAGUCUUCGACAGGAUUAGCUAUCCCCCUCUUAUUCUGGCAUUCUGCAGUUCAGUCCACCGAUAUGGCCCUUUACACAUAUACCCAUGCAUAUGUAGUGUAGCUCCUUGCUUGCGAGUACUUUGGAUGAGUACUCACGGUUGCUUUUCUCCCUCUUUUCCCCCUUUCCCUUCUACCUGGUUGUCGCAACCAGAUGCCGGAGCCCAGGAGCCAGACGCCACCAUCGACGACGACUCCUACUACAUCGGAGGUGCCUACUACUACAUGUAGCCCGCUGACGACGACCAGGAGUAGUUAGGAGGAUCCCAGGCAGGAGGCCUGCGCCUCUUUCGAUCUGUAUCCCAGUUUGUGCUAGCCUUCUUAAGGCAAACUUGUUUAACUUAUGUCUGUACUCAGAUAUUGUUGCUUCCGCAGACUCGUCUAUGACCGAGCACUUGUAUUCGAGCCCUCGAGGCCCCUGGCUUGUAUUAUGAUGCUUGUAUGACUUAUUUUAUUUUUAGAGUUGUGUUGUGAUAUCUUCCCGUGAGUCCCUGAUCUUGAUCGUACACGUUUGCGUGUAUGAUUAGUGUACAUUCAAAUCAGGGGCGUCACAGACGAGCAACAGGAGGGACAGCCCGGCCCCAAGCGCCAGAAGGGCGGCAAGAUUGCUUGGUUGCUCGCCUUCUCCUACGAGGAAACCCUUGACGCACCCUACAAGUUCCACAGCGGCGCGAAACCAUCCAACCGCACCACUCGGAAGUGCCACUGGCUCACUCGCAUUGCCAAGGGCAAAGGCCUACCUCCUCCUCUUGCUGGCCCGCCGGCUCCGCCUCCUCAGCAGCCGGCGGUCCUUCCAGUCGGCGCAGUUCAAGAUGAGUUCCUUGAAGAGCAUGGAGCCUACAUCGUCUUCACCAGUGUGGCCAUGACAAGCACAGUCGACAGCAGCAGCAUCGUGAGGUGAAUGCUGUCGCAUCAGAGGUCCCCCAGCUCAUGCAUUGGUCCGAGAAGCCCAUCACCUGGAGCCGUGCCGAUCACCCGGCCGUAAUACCAUCACCGGGUUCCUAUGCAAUGGUGCUGGAAUCAACCUUCGCAACUGAGAGAUGGGCGUCCCGUUUCUCCCGGAUUCUGAUAGACGGCGGUAGCAGCAUCAACAUCCUCUACAGCGACACCAUGGAGAAGUUGGGCAUCAAAGAGAAACAGCUGCAGCACAGCCGGAUUGUCUUCCACGGCAUUGUGCCCGGCCUGUCCUGCUCUCCAAUCGGCAAGAUCAAGAUAGAUGUUCUGUUCGGAGACAAAGAUCACUUCCGCCGCGAGCCGAUCUGGUUCGAGGUGGUUGACCUGGAAAGCCCCUACAACGCGCUCCUGGACUGGCUAGCUCUCGCCAAGUUCAUGGCGGUGCCCCAUUAUGCCUACCUCAAGAUGAAGAUGUCGGGUCCCAAGGGGAUCAUCACCAUUGCGGGCGACUACAAGAAGUCGGUCGCAUGUGCCACCGCCAGCAGCUUGCUGGCCGAGUCCCUUGUCAUUGCUGAAGAGAAGCGACUCCUUGACCGGGUUGUGGCCAUGGCCAGCAAGCAGCCGGACCUGUCGCCAGACCCCAAGGAGUCGGAGACCCAGGGCUCCUUCCAGCCGGCCAAAGAGACCAAGAAGAUCCCCUUGGACCCGGAACACACGGAGAUAUUCGCUGUCGUAGGGGCCCACCUUGACAGCAAAUAGGAAAGCGAGCUCGUCGAUUUCCUCUGUGAGAAUCGGGACAUCUUCGCAUGGUCUCCCAAGGACAUGCCAGGUGUUCCGACGGAUUUCGCCGAGCACAAGCUACAUGUCAGGCCGGAUGCAAAGCCGGUCAAGCAACCCCUACGCCGCCUAUCAGAAAAGAAGAUAAGAAUUUUUGGUGAAGAGAUAGCCCGGCUUCUGGCAGCCGGCUUUAUCAUGGAAGUGUUUUUCCCACAGUGGCUCGCCAACCCAAUCCUUGUACUGAAGAAGAAGAACAAGUGGCGCAUGUGUAUCGACUACACCAGCCUCAACAAAGCCUGCCCUAAAGACCCGUUUGCUCUGCCUCAGAUAGAUCAAGUGAUAGACUCCACAGCCGGAUGCGAGCUGCUGUCUUUCCUUGAUGCCUACUCUGGCUACCACCAGAUCAAGCUCAACCCGGCCGAUCGGCUGAAGACCGCCUUCAUCACACCAUUCGGAGCCUUCUGCUACCUGACCAUGACAUUCGGCUUGAGAAACGCCGGUGCCACGUUUCAGCGUUGCAUGCAGAAGUGCCUCCUCAAGCAACUCGGCAGGAAUGCCCACGUCUAUGUAGACGAUAUUGUGGUGAAGACGGAGAAGUGAGGCUCCCUCCUGGAGGAUCUCAAGGAGACCUUUGACAACCUGCGCCGUUUUCAAAUCAAGCUUAACCCAGAAAAGUGUGUCUUCGGAGUCCCAGCUAGACAGGUCCUUGGUUUCCUUGUCUCAGAACGCGGCAUCGAGUGCAACCCUGUGAAGAUCAAAGCCAUUGAGCGGAUGGAGGGACCCACCCGGCUACGAGACGUCCAGAAGUUCACCGGGUGCUUGGCAUCCCUCAGCCGUUUCAUUAGUCGGCUGGGCGAGAAGGCUCUCCCCCUGUAUCGGCUAAUGAAGAAAACCACUCACUUCGAGUGGAACGACAAGGCGGACGAGGCCUUCCUCCAGCUCAAGAACAUGCUGACCAUGCCGCCUGUCCUGGCGGCACCGGCUGCUAAGGAGCCCAUGCUCCUAUACAUCGCCGCCACCAGCCGGGUGGUCAGCACUGUGAUCGUGGUCGAGCGCCCAGAAGAUGGCAAGGCACAGCCGGUCUAGAGGCCCGUCUACUACCAGAGCGAGGUGCUGUCGGCCUCCAAGCAGAACUACCCCCACUACCAGAAGAUGUGCUAUGGCGUGUACUUCGCCGCCAAGAAGCUCAAGCAAUACUUUCAAGAGCACUCCAUCACGGUCGUCUGCACUGCCCCACUUGCCGAGAUAAUAGGGAACAGAGAUGCAUCAGGCCGGGUGGCGAAGUGGGCCAUCGAGCUAGCCCCCCACACCAUCCUCUACCAGCCCCACACUACCAUCAAGUCCCGAGUGCUGGCCGACUUCCUCGUCAACUGGGCCGAGACCCAGUACCUGCAAGCCAGCGCCGGACUCUACCCAUUGGUGGAUGCACUUUGAUGGCUCGAAGAUGCGCACCGGUUUGGGGGCCUGCGUUGUCCUCACCUCUCCCAAAGGCGACAAGCUCAAGUACACACUGCAGAUUCAAUUUGCCGCCUCCAACAACGUGGCCGAGUAUGAGGCACUCGUCCACGGGCUCCGACUGGCCAAAGAGAUUGGCAUCCGCCGAGUGCUGUGCUAUGGCGAUUCAGAUUUGGUGGUCCAGCAGUCGUCCGGCGACUGGGACACCAAGGAUGCAAGCAUGGCGAGCUACCGCUUCCUCGUCCAGCAGAUCAGGGGAUACUUUGACGGGUGCGAGUUCCUCCAUGUACCAUGGGCCGACAACAAGCAAGCUGAUGCCCUGGCACGGAUUGGCUCCAGACGUCAAGCAAUACCAGCCGGUGUCUCCCUUCAGUGCCUGCGCAAGCCGUCUAUCAAGCCUUCGCCAGAAUCAGAGUCCAUCUUCGUGCCGGCUAUCCCCGGAACAGUCGGAUCUAGCUUAGGGACCGCAGCAGUCGGCCCGGGGACUUCAGCAGGCGACUCGGGGACUGCAACAGUCGCACCCAGCCCGGGGACUUCAGAACUAGGCCCGAGGGCUCCAGCAGGCGACCCAGGGACUUCGGCAGGCGACUCGGGGACUGCAUCAGUCGCACCCGGCCCAGGGACUUCAAAACCCAGCCCGGGGGCUGUAGCAGCUGGCCCGAGGACUUCAACGACACAGCAAGCGGCGGCCGACUCCAACCCGCCACCUCCCAGCCCAACUGCCUUGGUACUAGUGGCCGUGAUGACAGUGGUAGAAGCACCAUCGUGGGCGCAGCCCAUCCUCAAAUUCCUGGUGAGCAGAGAGCGACCAGCCAACGAGAUUUUGGCCCGGCAAGUGCAAAGCCGGGCAUCAGCAUACACAAUAGUGAACAGAGAGCUCAUCAGGCGGAGUGUGACUAGCGUCUUUCAGCGCUACGUAGAGCCGGAAAAGGGCAAAGCAAUCCUCAGAGAUAUUCACCAAGGUGAGUUCAGCCACCUCGCGGCCUCCAGAUCCCUUGUCGCCAAAGCAUUCCGCCACGGAUUCCUCUAGCCGACUGCUUUGGAUGACGCCAAGGACUUGGUCAAGAAGUGCAAUGGGUGCCAACGCUUCAGCUCUAAGCAACACCUGCCGGCUUCUGCACUCAAGACCGCCCCUCACCUUCCCAUUUGCCAACUGGGGGCUGGACAUGGUGGGCCCGUUCAAGACAGCACGCGACGAUUUGACCCAUCUAUUGGUUGUCGUGGACAAAUUCACCAAAUGGAUUGAAGCAAAGCCUAUCAAGAAACUCAAUGGUCCAACUGUCGUGACCUUCAUCACAGAUAUAACCGUCCGGUAUGGCGUACCGCACAUCAUCAUCACCGACAAUGGCAGAAACUUCGCCAAAGGCGCCUUGGCCCGUUUCUGCGUGACGCAGGGCAUCCGGCUCAACUUAGCGUCUGUUGCCCAUCCAAAGUCAAAUGGCCAAGUCGAGCGAGCAAACGGCCUCAUCCUCUCCGGCAUCAAGCCCCGACUGGUCGAGCCGCUGGAGCACUCGGCCGGCUGCUGGAUCGAAGAGCUACCAGCCGUGCUUUAGAGCCUUCGGACUACGCCGAACAAAGCAACAGGCUUCACUCCCUUCUUCCUUGUGUACGGGGCCGAGGCCGUCAUCCCAACUGACAUCGAGUUUGAAUCACCUCGUGUCACCAUGUACACGAAGGCAGAGGUGAAGGAGGCGCGAGAAGACGACGUCAACCUGCUGGAAGAGGCCCAGCUGUUGGCACUCAGCCGGUCCGCCAUCUACCAGCAGGGCCUGCGCCGCUACCACAGUUGGAAGGUCAAGCCACGAUCCUUCCAUGAGGGAGACCUUGUGCUCCGGCUGAUCCAGCGAACAUCCGGCCAGCACAAGCUCUCGGCCCCUUGGGAACGACCUUUCGUCAUCAGCAAAGCCCUGGGCAAUGACUCCUACUACCUCAUCGACGCGCAGAAGCCCAGGGCACGCAAGAGGGACGACUUCGGCAAGGAAACAGAGCGCCCAUGGAACACAAACCUCAUUCGAAGAUUUUACAGUUAAUACAAUAUGUAUCACGCUACCUUUUGUGUUAUGCAAAGAAAAUGGGUCCCUCGAGGAGAACUCGGGGACUACCCUUUUAUCUAUAUGGUAAGAUUAUGCCUGUAAAUGUGUUAUUCCAUUUCAGCACCCGGCACCGGGUCCGACCAGUCGGCCCGGGGGCUCGCCACCUUGUCCUAUGUUGAUGCCACCAGCAGUCGGACAAGUGGUGUGCUGAAAUCUAGGCUCUCUCUCACCUUAAGCCACAGCUCGCAGAGCGACUGUCCGGCUGGCAAGAGCUUAAGGCAGGAAGCGGUGUGCACAUGAAAAAAGGCUAAGGAAAAAACAUCAGCAUAGGCCAAGCCGGCUCCUCACCUCACCGUACGGCUGCUGAGCAGCCGACCGACCGACUUCUCACUUGACUCGCUACAUUCUAAGCGGCUGAAGUACUUGUCUAUCCUAAAAACGGCCAAGUCCCUGACCCAGCCACAGACCGCAGAGCGGCUAUCCGGAUGGCAGGGCAGCAGCCAAGGGAAGGCGGCAAAGGAAAAAGCCAAAAAGAACAGAAAGGCAAAAUCAAGUUAGAAACCACAGAGCACAAACUUGUGCGAGAAUAAAUUAAUUUACAUAGCAAAGGCUCAUAGCCACCUUUCAACAUAGUCUGAAAGUACCCCCCAGUGGGUGGAAUUGUGCGAAUUUAACUUGUUCGAUUCAAGAGAUUACAAAACAGGAAAGAUAAAGUGGCCGCCUAGGCCAGAGGAGCAGUAGGGGGAGUCGAUAGGUCGGCGGAGGCAGAGGUGCCGGUUGGUGGAGCGGCCGACUGGUGGGACUCGGCCUGGUCGGCGCUGGCAACAGUCGGCACGGCAUCUCGCGGGCCGCUGGUAGAGGCUCGAUCAGGCUGAGGACGGCUGUCUGCUCCGUCGUCCGGUACGAUGUCUUCGCCGUCCUCGUCCUCUUCAUCGUCACCCUCGUCGCUGGAGGCGAUUUCCUCUGCCGAGUCCUCCUCAUCCUCCGGGGUCACCCUGAACCAGUUGGGCGGCACCUCAGCGCCCUCCUCGUCCAGCUCGGGGAUGAAGACGGUGGUGUUGGCAUACUCGGCGAUUGCCGCUGAGGCUGGGUGAGCGCGCGGUCCACUGCUGCCAGCUCCGGUCUGGCGUCCUGACGGAAGGUGGCCAGCUGGGCCAGAUUCAGCCUCGGAUACCAAGCCUUGGCGAACUGCAAGGCUGUCCGAGCGCCCGCCCGUGCCGCGGUGACCUUCCAGGCCUCGAAGCACCCGGCUGCUACCUCCAACCAGUUGGUAGUCUGAUUGGGGGUGCACGGGACCUGGGCGUCUGGCCAGAGGGCGGCAAGCACCUGAGACCCGGCACGCUGCAGGCGGCGAAUCAGACGGCGGGCCGGGUCCACGCGCGUCUUGAUGGCCAGGAGUUGCUCGCCAAGGUUCCGGGGCGCGUUUGGCGGAAUGUCGGCGCCCGUCUUCCUCCGCUGAUCGCACCGCGCCUCGAUGGCCUAGCUGACGGCGACAGACUGACCCGGAAAAAAAUAUGCUCAAGAAGAGGAGGUAAGAAGUUAGAAGCCAGAAGCCGGCCUGCGCGGCAGUCGGUGGCCGAACAAAGGAAGAUAUGAUUUACCCUUGAUCAUGUCGUCAAUCUCGUCGUAGGCAUCCGUCAGGAACUUCUCCUUCUCGACCCAGUUCGAGCGUCGAGUCUCGAACUUGGCCCUGAGGAGGCAUUCGCCUUCAUUCAGCUUCUGGAGCUCCGCCUUGUGCCGCUCUGCCUGGUCUGCCGGCUCCUUGGCCAGACGGCCGCACUCGUGAGCCGCCUGGCUGCGCUCUUCUCCCUGGUGUGGAGCGUGGAUUCAGCCUCGCCCAGGCGCUUCCGCAGAUCUGCGGCGGCCCCUGCAAAGACAAGAAAGAAAAUGUCAACACAAACCAAAGACAAGGAGUCGUCGGGAGAUCCGGCCCGACUACUCAGCAGUCAGCCCGAAUCUCGGGGGCGACACCCAGCUGGUGCGCUGAUGCGCCCCGCGAGAAAGAAGAAUGGAGUGCUUACUCUAGCUCUGAUUCAGGUCGCCGGUCCGCUUGGCCAGCUCCUAAUGCUGGGAGUUGUAGGCGGCCAUGCGGAGGUUGUGGUAAUCCUUUAACGAAGACAAUAGAAGAAAAAACAAGUCAGCACUCGGAGCUUACCAUAAAAUUCCGAGCCGCCUGCUCAGGAGCCGACCCGGAACUCGGGGACUACACACAGAGGGUGCGCUGGCGCGCCCCCAUGGAAGAUUGCAAAAAUUGAAAAACAAGAAGCAAGUAACGUACCCGGACGGCUGCCCGCGUUGCCAAGAAAUCCGGCAUUUGUUGCUGGAGGGAGGCACCUUGGGUGUUGAACUGGGCCAAGACGUCCUGCACGACCACGUUUAAGACACCCGUGCCGCCCCAGUCGUCCUAUCCAGUGGGGCAGCGCUGGUGGUCUCGGUGACGGGCGCCACCGAGCUAGCGGCCCCGGUCUCCAUCGGCCUUGGCACCGAGAUCGCCUUUGCCGGGCGCUGGCGCGCCGGAGCGCGGGGAGUCGGACCCACCACCAACUCACCGCCAGAUGGCGGCACCGGAGGCACUUUAGGCCGGCUGUACUACGCGUCGGCAAUUAGCGUGCGCAGAGGCACCUCCGCCUCCAAGAUGACGGGGUCCGCCUCCCUCCUCUCCAAGGCUGGUUGGUCAGCACCAGUCCCUCCAGUCGGCGCCUGGCCCUCCGGCACCAACGGCUCCGCGUGCUGCGGUCCGGUGGCUUCCGGAGCCCUGCUGCGGGACACCUCCUCCUCCUGCGCCUUGGCGGCCGCGUUCGCCCGCUCCUGGGCUGCCGCGUCGGCUUGCGCCUUGGCCGCCUCGUUGGCCCUUUCGCCGCGUCGGCCUCCUUCGCCUCCACUCGAGCCGCAGCGUCCCGCUCCUGCUGCACCUCCAGCGGGUUCCUCUUCGUCGCCUCCUGAAGGGCGGCGAUCGGGUCCACGCGACGCGUAUUGGCGGAGCCGUCUGCCACCCCAACUACCGAGCCCGAUGGGGCUCGCGACAAGGAAAGCGGGGCCCUCCUCGGCGAUGCAAGAAAAACUAAGAAGGAGUUUGCGAGAAAGGAAGAAAAGCAAACGCGAGAAAAGACAAAGAUACUUACGCAGAUACCAUCGGGCGCUGCUUCGGGCCCUUCUGGAAGAGGGCCGCCUUCGCGGAAGCCUCUUGCCGUUUGGUCGCGGCGGCCGAGGUCUUGACCUUCUUGGGCCGGCUGCCGAACAACCCGGCGUCGGCCCGGCGCUUCGGCGCGCCGGCUGCUGCAGUCGGCGCGGCUGAGGAGCAGGCGCCCGCCCUGUCGGCACCAAGGGCGCGGCGCAGCUCAUCGUCCUCGUCCUUGUCGUCCGGCCACUCCCCGGGGCCACCUUCUGAGGAGCCGCCUGCUAUCUCACCGCCAUCACCUGUGGCGUCGUCCUCCUCCAUGGCAGCCGCCCCCAACUCGGGGUCGUCUGCAUUGCUUUCCAUGCGGUCCGCCAUAUACUGAUGGCCUGGGACUAGCGCACCGUCUGCCGUCUGGCCCGGGAAGCGCUGCAUCGUGGCCGGGUGGUCAGGAGGCAAGAAGAAACUGAGCUAGCAAAGAAAGGAGAACCAGAAGACUUACCGCAGGUGGCGGAUUUGCGCGGCUGUACGGCUCCUUGACGAACCACCACUCUGUCUCCGACAGCUUGCAGUCAGAGAAGAAGUUCACCAGUCGAACCAUCUACACAUCCGGCAGCACCUUGGUGCACAUCCAGCACGGGUCGCAGCGCCCGCUCAUGUUGCUGAUGAUGUGGGGCCAAGCUUGAAUGGGUAGCACCCGACGCUCCACAAAGGCGGCCAGCAAAUCAGAGGCCCUGAGGCCCUCCAACUCCGUCAUCUCCUGGAGCCGCGCGAGAGCGGCGGAAGAGGCGGCCGACAGGUUCUUCGGCCGGAAUUUCUAGUUGGCGCGGGGCUCGUAGUCCAUCGUCGAGUGGAUGUUCUCGAUGUAGAAGUAUGACUUCUGCCACAGCUUGGCUGACUGCAACAAGGCAAGGUCCGGGAAGCGGACCCCCAGAACCCGAACACCGUACCGCAACGCAGGCCCCAGACUGGGCCGCCUCGUCCUUGGCGGCGGUGCCCAAUUUGAGAUAGAAGAGCUCCCCCCAUAGCUCGAGGGUGGGGAGCACGCAAACAUAUCCCUCGCAGAGGGUGACAAAUGAGGAGAGCAGCACCACCGUGUUCGGCGUGAGAUGGUGGGGCUGCACUUUGUAGAAGGUGAGGAACGAGCGGAGGAAUCCGCUCGCCGGCAGGCCAAAGCCGCGGAGGAAGUGUGACCGGAAGACGACGCGUUCGCCAUCCGCCGGCACCGGCGAGAUCUCCGCCUCAGGAGGAACGCGCACCUUUACAUGCGACACGCGGGGCAGCCGCCGUGUCUGGCGAAGGAACGCGAGGUGAUCCUCGUGGACGUUGGAACCGUCCCAAUCGCCGUAGCGCCCGCCGCACGCCAUGGAUGCAGUUGCUCGACAGUGGCGCAGCGCGGUGGCGAGCGAGCUGUGCCGCAGCGGGUCAGAGAGGCCCUGCGACGGUAGCUACAGAGGAGCUCCGGCGGCAAGCAGGGGCGCGGCAGCAACAAGAAGAAACAGAGGAAGAAGAAGACGUAGGGCGACGGGGCGUGCGUGUGUUCUGCCGCCCCCUCCUCCCCGUACUUAUAGCCCCCCGGCGGUAGAGCCGAGGGGGCGAGACAUGGGGGGGGCGAGAUUAACUGCGCCCACUCCCCCCAUGACCCCGCAUCUACCGCGCCAUAACAACAUGUAUUUAACGCACCUGGGAAGCGCAACCACCCGCUUCGGCCGCAGUGGAUCUGCCGCAUGUCGAGGCCCUGUAGUGGUGGGCCAGGGCCUACGGCGACGUCCCAUCGCUCGCGUGGGCUGGCAGGCCGGCCAGGCCUGCUGACGCCGCGUGGUGGACGAGCAACGGGCGGCAAAGCCCACCACCCAGAUGGCUCGCCACCCGGCCCCCACCAAGACGAUUCGAAUUCACCAGGCGGCUGGCCUGGCCAGGGCCGGCUCCUAACAGCCGGUAUCUCCAGAAGGCGGAUGCAGCAAAAUUACCAGAUCACUCUGAGUAGGAAGCUGCUGAGGCUCCUCGAUUUUUAGCCGCGGUGCCCCACCAGCUUCGGGGACUACUGUCGGAGUAAAUGACCACGGGUAGCCUCAUCGGCCCCCCAUGGUAUUUCAAGACAUCGGGCCUAGCAGCGCCCCUCACACCUCCCGGAAGCACGAUUGGCUUUUUGGGCCGGCUGGUCGAAGAGGCCGGCUGCUAGCAGGCGGCAAGACCACAGAAAACGGCCGCAAAGGGGCCGACUCCUAGCAGGCGGCCCCUCAACCCUCAAAGUUUGCGCCCCAUUGCCACGACGAGACCGGGCGUGGCUAUAGUGCAACCUGCCGCCCGCGAAUCCAGGGCGGAUCAUGGCUACAGUGCGGUGUAGCAGGCGGACACUCCUCGCCCGGCGCGACACUGUAGCCAUGCGGCCUGUGACAUCACCUACGCCAGAGGAAGCCAUGCUCCCACGACGGGCGGUCCGUACGGCCCGUUGGCGGCGGGCCCUACCUGUCCACGAGCCACCAGAAGGCGGCGAACCCCCAGCAGGCGGCAACAAGGGUGGGCCGACUCCUAGCAGGCGACCCUUCUCUCCCUUGGAGUCUGCGCGCCAUUAACCAGAUGAGACGGGGAGUGGCUACAAUGAGCGCCCGCCAGGCGGCGGGACUGUAGCCAUGCCCCCCCCGACAAAGCCUUCGUCCUCAGGGGCGAGGCUACAGUACAAAGCAGUCAACAUGGCCCUACCUGUCAGCCAAGAUAACGGCAGCCGGUGGGACCCACCAGGCGACGGGCCCCUGCAGCCGGCGGAGAAGCCGGCGACCAGAGACACUGACGGCUGGGUCCUACACCAGGCCGGAUUACCAUUGUACCCCUGGGGGUAGGCCUAUAUAAACCCCCCAGGCUUCCCCAUGCAAGGGGUUCGCGGAAGGACAGGCAAUCCGGGCACGCAGAGCCGGCGCGGGACAGCUGCGGGAGGCGGCCGAAGCCGGUGAGCAGGGAGCCAGCACGCGCACGGGUCGCGGAGCCGACUCGCGGGACAGAGCAGGGCGCGAUGCGCCGGAGAGGCGUCCAGGCUUGCAGGCAGUCGGACCCGAACCUGGCAGUGGCCGCGAGCUGGACGGGCGGGAUGGGGCCGCGGCGAGAGCGGAAGCCGGCCACCGCGGCGGCAACCGACGGGGGUGGGGAGGCAUGCGAGGGGAGCAGAGGCACAACGCGCUGUGGGGAUCGGGAGGGAGAGCUCACACGCAGGGCCUGCAUGUGCCGAGGCAGCGGCCUCCAGAGGAGCCUCGCGGGCAGUGCAGGGGCGCAGCGCAGCUGGGGCGGUGCUGGACGGCACCGGCGGAGCAGCGCGCAGGGGCGGGCAGUGCGGCGGAGCAGACGUGGAACACGGGCGAGCAGAGGAGGACGCGCGCGAGGCUGCCCACCUGCGUGAACAAGGGCCAAGGUAGCUAGCUUGCUAGCUUAGCAAGGCCAAUCGAAAGGUAGCUAGCUAGCUUGGGCAUGAGUGUGUAUCUGGCUUGCUUGCUAGCGGAUGGUGGAGCUCGACGCAGCGUGGAGGGGAGCGGAUGCGAGCGAUGCGCGGAUGGACACGGCCGACCGAAGCGACGCGGCACGGCAUGGCGCGCGCAUGGACGAACGGCCGGUGUCGCAGCGGUGGUGACAAAGAGGCCGAGGCCGACGAUGAGGACGCGCCGUUUCGCGCGGUCGCUCCAUGGACGGGGCGAUGUCGAUCCCCCGAGCGCUACCGGAGAGAUGGCGCGAUGUCGCGGCGGAGAUAACAAAGAUGGCGAGGCCGAUGAAAAGGGCGUGUCGCCCCAUGCAGUCGCCCCGAGGGCGCAUUGGUCGAGCCCCCCAGCGCUACGGGAGAGACGACGGCGACGCCACGGUGAUGAUGACGAAAAGGGGUCCCGCCCGGACCACGAUUCCAGCGGCAGCUUGCCCCACGGUGUGUGCCAAAUGUGGGGGAUAUCUAGCGACAUAUGCCAAGGGAUGGCUUAUCAUGGAGGGGGUCAAGAGUACGUCGCCGGGCUCUAGCAGCGGGAGUGAGUGAGAUCGCAUACGCCUACGAAUCUUACACAGGAUCGGGGCUCUCCGUGGAGAUAACACCCCUAGUCCUGCUCUGCGGGGUCUCCGCAUGAUCAGUAUGGUCAAUAGCGUAGUUACAAGAUGGCUCCUUGAGCUAUUCGGCUAGAGGAGGAAGAAGGGCAAGGCUAGCUCUACUCCUCUCUCUAUGUGGAUGUGUAUGAUCUCUAAGGUUGUGAACCCCUUGCAUGGGGAAGCCUGGGGGGUUUAUAUAGGCCUACCCCCAGGGGUACAAUGGUAAUCCGGCCGGGUGUAGGACCCAGCCGUCAGUGUUUCCGGUCACCGGCUUCUCUGCCGGCUGCUGGGGCCCGCCACCUGGUGGGUCCCGCCGGCUGCCGUUAUCUCGGCGGACAUGUAGGGCCCGCCGCCUGCGGUCCAUGUUGACUGCUAUGUACUGUAGCCUCGCCCCUGAUGACGAAGGCUUUGUCGGGGGGAGCGUGGCUACAGUCCCGCCGCCUGGCGGGCGCUCACUAUAGCCACUCCCCGUCUCAUAUGGUUAAUGGAGCGCAUACUCCAAGGGAGAGAAGGGCCGCCUGCUAGGAGUCGGCCCACCCUUGUUGACGCCUGCUGGGGGUUCGCCGCCUUCUGGUGGCUCGCGGACAGGUAGGGCCCGCCGCCUGCGGGCCGUACUGACCGCCCGUCGUGGGAGCAUGGCUCCCUCUGGCAUAGGUGAUGUCACGGGCCGCAUGGCUACAGUGUCGCGCCGGGCGAGGGGUGUCCGCCUGGUACACCGCACUGUGGCCACGAUCUCCCUGGAUUCGGAGGCGGCAGGUUGCACUGUAGCCACGCCCGGUCUCGUCGUGGUAAUUGGGCGCAAACUUUGAGGGGACGAGGGGCCCCCUACUAGGAGUAGGCCCCUUCGGGGCCGUGUUCUGUGGUCUUGCUGCCUGCUAGCAGCUGGCCUCUUGGACCAGCCGGCCCAAGAAGCCAAUCGUGCUUUCGGGAGGUGUGAGGGGCGCUGCUAGCCCCGAUGUCUUGAAAUACCAUGGGGGGCUGAUGAGACUACCCAUGGUCAUUUACUCCGACAUUGACUGACCCAAGCUUGUGAGUUUCCAAAUCAUCAUCAGAAUGAGCUUGUACAUAUUUGCCAUUUUGUUGUGGUCCAUCCUGGGCUUCCCAUAUACAUCAACAUCAUCUUGAUCUUCUUCAGGGGCAUUCAGAAGAGCAGCCCACUUAGAGAUUGAUGACUGGCACCUUUUACCCUCAGUCAUCCAUCUGAUCCUCCCAUCUGGAUAGAGGUGUGCCAUGGAGUAAAACUGCAUGAUCAUCUCAUCAUUCCACUUUGUAAGCUUCUGACCAACAAAUGCAUCUACUCCCGCAAGACUGAAGCUCUCAUGAACGUGGCGGAAGUAGUCUUCAUUUGCAUCGAUGUACUUCCAGUCCACCCACUUCAUGUCACUGACAAUGGGCUUCUUAUCAAGUAGCACUGGCUCAUAGGCUGUCCUCCUCCUCAUAGAAUAUGGAUCCACUUUCCUCCAUUCUCUCAGACCCUUGUCCUUCCUGAGCAUCAUGUUCUCUACAACUGGAUGAGCAUCAUCAUGAUCUGGAAUCUUGGGCUUCAAUUUUCUAAGACUUAGUGGCUCAUCAUCAUCUUGAACUUCAUGCAUUGGGGCCUUGUUCUUCUCAGCAGCUGGAAUGUUUCUAGUUGACCUCUUGAGAGGCAUGCUAGAUGUGUUAUUCUCAAGAUGAGUGUCUAUUCACUUGUCAUUGCACGAGAGUACGACAGUAAUAGGGAUGCCCAGUCCCGAAAUGAAAAAGAAAUUUACUUUAUGUUAUCAAAUAAUAAAUUCCUUCGAAAGUGUUGGUAUGGAAGGCGACCGUGGAUACGGCUAGCCCUGGAUUGCGAAAGAAUGGUGGAAAAAGGAAUAAACUUUAUUUUAUGUUUGGGAACUGCCUAUGAUAUAUCUAGCAUGGAAAGUAUUGGGAACUAAUCAGUCGUUUUCGUUGACAGGAAAAACAUGUCUCUCAAAAAAAUGUAUCUCUCAAUUUUUUCUUUGAGCUCUCGCACCUCUUCAAAUCUCUGCUUCCCUCUGCGAAGGGCCUAUCUAUUUACUUUAUGAAAUUCUUAUGUUUAUUUGAGUCUCCAUUUUCUCUUAUAAAGCACCAACUAGGGAGCACUAUGAUCAUACUUGUGCAUUGGAUGUAGCUAAUAUUCGAGUGUGUUUCAUGAAUGGAUCUAUGAUUGAGCAUGACGGGCUUGGGAUAACUUUCUUUAGUGUGGAUAUUUUGAAAGACAUGGUUGCUUGUUUAUAUGCUUGAGUAUUGAAGUCUUCAUGUGAAAUAUAGACAAUUGCUUUGAACCAUCUAAAAGACCAAAUGUCCAUGCUACAAAGGAAAAGAAUAUGUGAUGAACAUGCUAGGCAACAUUCCACAUCAAAAAUUCUGUUUUUAUCAUUUACCAACUCGAGGACGAGCAGGAAUUAAGCUUGGGGAUGUUGAUACGUCUCCAACAUAUCUAUAAUUUUUUAUUGUUCGGUAAGCACGAAGGGAAAUUAAACAAUGUAUGGGAUAAAGAGUUACUCUCUGAUACGUCUCCAACGUAUCUAUAAUUUUUGAUUGUUCCAUGCUAUUAUAUUAUCAUUCUGGGAUGUUUUGAAAUCAUUUUAUAGAAACUUUAUAUCAUCUUUUGGCACUAACCUAUUGACAUAGUGCCCAGUGCCAAUUGCUUUUUUUGCAUAUUUUUUUACUUCGCAGAAUAUCAGUACCAAACACAGCGAAACUUUUUGGAGUUUUUAUUUGGACCAUAAGACAACUUGGGAGCCAAGGAAGCACCAGAGGGGAAGCAUGUGGGGCCCACAAGACACCAGGGCGCGCCAGAGGCCCAUGGUGUGCCCUGAUGGGUUGUGGGGCCCAUGGGGGUCUCCUCCACCGCCUCUCAGCUCUAUAAAUACCCAAAUAUUCCAGAAACCAUAGGGGAGCAAUAAAAACAUAAUUCCAGCCGCCGCAAGUUCCAGAACCACGAGACCCAAUCUAGAGCCCUAUUCCGGCACACUACCGGAGGGGAACACGAUCACGGAGGGGUUCAUCAUCCUCAUUGGUGCUCCUCCGAUGAUGCGUGGGUAGUUCACCAUAGACCUAUAGGUCCGUAGGCAGUAGCUAGAUGGCUUCUACUCUCUUUUUAAUUCUCAAUACAAUGUUCUCCUAGUUGUUCUUGGAGAUCUAUUUGAUGUAAUGACUUUUUGCGGUGUGCUUGUUGGGAUCCGAUGAAGUUUGAGUUUAUGAUCAGAUCUAUAUCCAUGAAUAUUAUUUGAGUUUUCUUUGAUCUCUUAUUUGCAUGAUUAUUUAUAGUCUCGGUUUAUUUAGAUCUCUGUUCUCCUUAAUGGGAAGAUGUGCUUUGUGAUGGGUUUGAUCUUGCGGUGUCCUCACCCAGUGACAAAAGGGGUAGCAAGGCACAUAUGUAUCGUUGCUAUUAAGGAUAAAAAGAUGGGGUUAAUUCCUACAUGAAUAGAUCUUGUCUACAUCAUGUCAUCGUUCUUAUUGCAUUACUCCAUUUCUCCAUUAACUUAAUACACUAGAUGCAUGCUGGAUAGCGAUUGAUGUGAGGAAUAAUAGUAGUACAUUCGGAAUCAUUUCGGUCUACUAAUCUUGGACGUGAUGCCUAUAUACAUGAUCAUUGCCUUGGAUAUCGUCAUAAAUAUUUGUUCUUCUAUCAAUUGCCCAAUAGUAAUUUUUUUACCCACCGUAUGCUAUUUUCUCGAGAGAAGCCACUAGUGAAAUCUACGGCCCCCGGGUCUAUCUUUUAUCAUAUUGUUUUCAGAUCUAUAUUUCCAAAACCCAAAAAUACCUUGCUGCACUUUUUCUUUACUUGUUUUAUUUUGUGUUCUUGCUAGAUCUAUUUAUCCAAACUCAUACAAUUUAAUCAAUCUUUUCACCGUGGAGGGAUCGACAACCCCUCUUACGCGUCGGGUUGCAAGUAUUUGUUCUUCGUGUGCAGGUACCAUUUACUUGUGUUGCUUGGUUCUACUGGAUUGAUAACCUUGGUUUCAUAACUGAGGGAAUUACCUACCGUAGCUAUACUGCAUCAUCCCUUCCUCUUCGGGGAAAUAUCGACACAAUUUCAAGCUACAUCAAAAGUUUCUGGUGCCAUUGUCGGGGAGACAUCAUCGACAUCUAUCGAGUUAAUUGCACAGAAGUACCAUAAUUUGGGCAUUACAAGCAGAUUGGUACCAAUAUUGGUAAUUUUUAUGUGUCAAUACCAACUCUGGGGCGAGGCGUUGCAAAAGAGGCUAAAACGGUUGUUUAUACGUAUUGACAGCCGAACUUACCGCUUGGGCCCGUGCUACCUCUUGAGCACUGCGUUGGUUUUCCCUUGAAGAGGAAAGGGUGAUGCAGUAAAGCAGCGUAAGUAUUUCCCUCAGUUUUUGAGAACCAAGGUAUCAAUCCAGUAGGAGGCCACGCACGAGUCCCUCGCACCUACACAAACAAGUAAAAUCCUCGCAACCAACGCAAUAAAGGGGUUGUCAAUCCCUUCAUGGUCACUUACGAAAGUGAGAUCUGAUAGAUAUGAUAAGAUAAUAUUUUAGGUAUUUUUAUGAUAAGGAUGCAAAGUAAAGAAAGCAAAACAAACGGCGCCAGAAAUAACUUGUUGACGGGAGAUUAAUAUGAUGGAAAAUAGACCCCGGGGCCAUACGUUUCACUAGUGGCUUCUCUCGAGAGCAUAAGUAUUACUGUGGGUAAACAAAUUACUGUUGAGCAAUUGACAGAACUGAGCAUAGUUAUGAGAAUAUCUAGGUAUGAUCAUGUAUAUAGGCAUCACGUCCAUGACAAGUAGACCGACUCCUGCCUGCAUCUACUACUAUUACUCCACACAUCGACCGCUAUCCCGCAUGCAUCUAGAGUAUUAAGUUCAAAAGAACAGAGUAACGCUUUAAGUAAGAUGACAUGAUGUAGAGGGAUAAACUCAUGCAAUAUGAUAUAAACCCCAUCUUGUUAUCCUCGAUGGCAACAAUACAAUACGUGCCUUGCUGCCCCUACUGUCACUGGGAAAGGACACCGCAAGAUUGAACCCAAAGCUAAGCACUUCUCCCAUUGCAAGAAAGAUCAAUCUAGUAGGCCGAACCAAACUGAUAAUUCGAUGAGACUUGCAAAGAUAACCAAUCAUACAUAAAAGAAUUCAGAGAAGAUCCAAAUAUUGUUCAUAGAUAAACUUGAUCAUAAACCCACAAUUCAUCGGUCUCAACAAACACACCGCAAAAGAAGAUUACAUCGAAUAGAUCUCCACAAGAAUCGUGGAGAACUUUGUAUUGAGAUCCAAAGAGAGAGAAGAAGCCAUCUACCUAAUAACUAUGGACCCGAAGGUCUGAGGUAAACUACUCAAACAUCAUCGGAGAGGCUAUGGUGUUGAUGUAGAAGCCCUCCGUGAUCAAUGCCCCCUCCGACGGAGCGCUGGAAAAGGCCCCAAGAUGGGAUCUCACGGGUACAGAAGGUUGCGGCGGUGGAAUUAGGUUUUUGGCUCCGUAUCUGGUAGUUUGGGGGUACGUAGGUAUAUAUAGGAGGAAGAAGUAUGACGGUGGAGCAACGUGGGCCCCACGAGGGUGGAGGGCGCGCCCAGGGGGGUAGGCGCGCCCCCUACCUCGUGCCUUCCUGGUAGCUUUCUUGACGUAGGGUCCAAGUCCUCUGGAUCACGUUCGUUCCGAAAAUCACGUUCCCGAAGGUUUCAUUCCGUUUGGACUCCGUUUGAUAUUCUUUUUCUGCAAAACUCUGAAAUAGGCAAAAAAACAGCAAUUCUGGGCUGGGCCUCCGGUUAAUAGGUUUGUCCCAAAAAUAAUAUAAAAGUGUAUAAUAAAUCCCUAAUGUCCAAAACAGAAUAUAAUAUAACAUGGAACAAUAAAAAAUUAUAGAUACGUUGGAGACGUAUCAAGCAUCCCCAAGCUUAAUUCCUGCUCGUCCUCGAGUAGGUAAAUGAUAAAAACAGAAUUUUUCAUGUGGAAUGCUAGUUGGCAUAAUUUCAAUGUAAUUCUCUUAAUUGUGGUAUGAAUAUUCAGAUCCAAAAGAUUCAAGACAAAAGUUUAAUAUUGACAUAAAAAUAAUAAUACUUCAAGCAUACUAACUAAGCAAUUAUGUCUUCUCAAAAUAACAUGGCCAAAGAAAGUUAUCCCUACAAAACCAUAUAGUCUGGCUAUGCUCUAUCUUCACCACACAAAGUAUUUAAAUCAUGCACAACCCCGAUGACAAGCCAAGCAAUUGUUUCAUACUUUUGUUGUUCUCAAACUUUUUCAAUGUUCACGCAAUACAUGAGCGUGAGCCAUGGACAUAGCACUAUAUGUGGAAUAGAAUGGUGGUUGUGGAGAAGAUAGUCUCACAUCAACUAGGCGUAUCAACGGGCUAUGGAGAUGCCCAUUAAUAGAUAUCAAUGUGAGUGAGUAGGGAUUGCCAUGCAACGGAUGCACUAGAGCUAUAAGUAUAUGAAAGCUCAACAAAAGGAACUAAGUGGGUGUGCAUCCAACUCGCUUGCUCAUGAAGACCUAGGGCAUUUUGAGGAAGCCCAUCAUUGGAAUAUACAAGCCAAGUUCUAUAAUGAAAAUUUCCCACUAGUAUAUGAAAGUGAUAUCAUAGGAGACUCUCUAUCAUACAGAUCAUGGUGCUACUUUGAAGCACAAGUGUGGUAAAAGGAUAGUAACAUUGUCCCUUCUCUCUUUUUCUCUCUUUUUUUGGGCCUUUUCUCUUUUUUAUGGCCUUUCCCUUUUUUUAGUCCAGAGUCUCAUCCUGACUUCUGGGGGAAUCAUAGUCUCCAUCAUCCUUUCCUCACUUGGGACAAUGCUCUAAAAAAUGAUGAUCAUCACACAUUUAUUUACUUACAACUCAAUACUUAGAACACAAUAUGACUCUAUGUGAAUGCCUCCGGCGGUAUACCGGGGUAUGCAAUGAAUCAAGAGUGACAUGUAUGAAAGAAUUAUGAACGGUGGCUUUGCCACAAAUACAAUGUCAACUACAUGAUCAUGCAAAGCAAUAAGAUAAUGAUGGAGCAUGUCAUAAUAAACAGAACGGUGGUAAGUUGCAUGGCAAUAUAUCUCGGAAUGGCUAUGGAAAUGCCAUGGUAGAUAGGUAUGGUGGCUGUUUUGAGGAAGGUAUAUG